rnacentral:lncRNA from 1 species
AGUAAUGUGUCAGGAGAAAUUAGUACAAGAAGCCGUGGAUACACUUCUUGAUAAUGGGAUCCGCGGGCAACCAAUGAGGGAUGGUCAUAAUAAAGUUUACAAGUCAUUUUCGGAUGUAAUUGAAGGUAAAGAGGGAAGAUUUCGUGAGACUCUGCUUGGUAAACGGGUCGAUUAUUCGGGGCGUUCCGUCAUUGUUGUGGGUCCUUCGCUUUCAUUACAUCAAUGCGGAUUACCUGGAGAAAUAGCAAUAGAGCUUUUCCAAACAUUUGUAAUUCGUGGUCUAAUCAGGCAACAUGGUGUUUCUAACAUAGGGAUUGCUAAAAGUAAAAUUCGGGAAAAAGAACCGAUUGUAUGGGAAAUACUGCAAGAAGUUAUGCAGGGGCAUCCUGUAUUGUUGAAUAGAGCACCCACCCUGCAUAGAUUAGGCAUACAGGCGUUCCAACCCAUUUUAGUGGAGGGACGUGCUAUUUGUUUACACCCAUUAGUUUGUAAGGGCUUCAAUGCAGACUUUGAUGGGGAUCAAAUGGCUGUUCAUGUACCUUUAUCUUUGGAAGCUCAAGCGGAGGCCCGUUUACUUAUGUUUUCUCAUAUGAAUCUCCUGUCUCCAGCUAUUGGAGAUCCCAUUUCCGUACCAACCCAAGAUAUACUUAUCGGACUCUAUGUAUUAACGAUCGGGAAUCGUCGAGGUAUUUGUGCAAAUAUGUAUAAUCCAUAUAAUUGCAGAAACUAUCAAAAUCAAACAGUUGACAAUAAUAAUUAUAAGUAUACGAAAGAGAAAGAACCGUAUUUUUGUAGUUCCUAUGAUGCACUUGGAGCUUAUCGGCGGAAACGAAUCAGUUUAGAUAGUCCUUUGUGGCUCCGAUGGAGACUAGAUCAACGUGUCAUUGGGUCAAGAGAAGUUCCCAUCGAAGUUCAAUAUGAAUCUUUGGGUACUUAUCAUGAGAUUUAUGGGCACUAUCUAAUAGUAGGAAGUGUAAAAAAAGAAAUCCGUUGUAUAUACAUUCGAACCACUCUUGGUCAUAUUUCUUUUUAUCGAGAAAUAGAAGAAGCCAUACAAGGGUUUUGUCGGGCCUACUCAUACACUAUCUAAACUAAGAAAUUCGAUUAGGCGAUGCCUGGAAUUCGGGUUUUUCCAAUUUUACUAGUAUCAUAAUUUCUGAAUUUCUGCGUGAAUCAAGAUUGAGAUUGAGGAAAGAAAGUUAAGUUUUCGAAUCACUGACUCAGGCCCAUUGUCGAAUCCUACUCAGCAGAAUAUAGAGGUACUUAUGGCAGAACGGGCCGAUCUGGUCUUUCACAAUAAAGUGAUAAAUGGAACUGCUAUGAAACGACUUAUUAGCAGAUUAAUAGAUCAUUUCGGAAUGGGAUAUACAUCACAUAUCCUGGAUCAAGUAAAGACUUUGGGUUUCCAUCAAGCCACUGCUACAUCUAUUUCAUUAGGAAUUGAUGAUCUUUUAACAAUACCUUCUAAGGGAUGGUUAGUCCAAGACGCUGAACAACAAAGUUUUAUUUUGGAGAAACACCAUCAUUAUGGGAAUGUACACGCGGUAGAAAAAUUACGUCAAUCUAUUGAGAUAUGGUAUGCUACAAGUGAAUAUUUGAGACAAGAAAUGAAUCCUAAUUUUCGGAUGACUGAUCCCUCUAAUCCAGUCUAUCUAAUGUCUUUUUCAGGAGCAAGGGGAAAUGCAUCUCAGAUACACCAAUUAGUAGGUAUGAGAGGAUUAAUGUCAGAUCCCCAAGGACAAAUGAUUGAUUUACCCAUUCAAAGCAAUUUACGCGAGGGACUUUCUUUGACAGAAUAUAUAAUUUCCUGCUACGGAGCCCGCAAAGGAGUUGUAGAUACUGCUGUACGAACAUCAGAUGCUGGAUAUCUUACACGUAGACUUGUUGAAGUAGUUCAACACAUUAUUGUACGUAGAAGAGAUUGUGGUACUAUCCGAGGUAUUUCCGUGAGUCCUCAAAAUGGGAUGACGGAAAAGAUUUUUGUCCAAACACUAAUUGGUCGUGUAUUAGCAGACGAUAUAUAUAUCGGUCUACGAUGCAUUGCCACUCGAAAUCAAGAUAUUGGGAUUGGACUUGUCAAUCGAUUCAUAACCUUUCGAGCACAACCAAUAUAUAUUCGAACCCCCUUUACUUGCAGGAGUACAUCUUGGAUCUGUCAAUUAUGUUAUGGUCGGAGUCCCACUCAUGGCGAUCUGGUCGAAUUGGGAGAAGCCGUAGGUAUUAUUGCGGGUCAAUCAAUUGGGGAACCGGGGACUCAACUAACAUUAAGAACUUUUCAUACCGGCGGAGUAUUCACAGGCGGUACUGCAGAACAUGUACGAGCUCCUUCUAAUGGAAAAAUAAAAUUCAAUGAGGAUUUGGUUCAUCCCACACGUACCCGUCAUGGGCAUCCCGCUUUUCUAUGUUCUAUAGACUUGUAUGUAACUAUUGAGAGUCGGGAUAUUAUACAUAAUGUGACUAUUCCGCCAAAAAGUUUGAUUUUAGUUCAAAAUGAUCAAUAUGUAGAAUCAGAACAAGUGAUUGCUGAGAUUCGUGCUGGAACGUCUACUUUUCAUUUUAAAGAGAGGGUACGAAAACAUAUUUAUUCUGAAUCAGAGGGAGAAAUGCACUGGAGUACCGAUGUCUACCAUGCACCUGAAUAUACAUAUGGUAAUGUUCAUCUAUUACCAAAAACAAGUCAUUUAUGGAUAUUAGCAGGAGGUCCGUGCAGAUCCAGUAUAGUGUCUUUUUCGCUCCACAAGGAUCAAGAUCAAAUGAAUGUUUAUUCUCUUUCUGUUGAAGGAAGAUAUAUCUCUAACCCCUCAAUGACUAAUGAUCAAGUAAGACAUAAAUUGUUGGAUACUUCUGGUAAAAAAGAUAGGAAAAUUCUUGACUAUUCAAGACUUGAUCGAAUCAUAUCCAAUGGUCAUUGGAAUUUCAUAUAUCCUUCUAUUCUCCAAGAGAAUCCUGAUUUCUUGGCGAAAAAGCGAAGAAAUAGAUUCAUCAUCCCAUUACAAUAUGAUCAAGAACGAGAGAAAGAACUAAUACCCUGUUUUGGUAUUUCGAUUGAAAUACCCAUAAAUGGUAUUUUACGUAGAAAUAGUAUUCUUGCUUAUUUUGAUGAUCCACGAUACAGAAGAAGCAGUUCCGGAAUUACUAAAUAUGGGACCAUAGAGGUGGAUUCAAUCAUAAAAAAAGAAGAUUUGAUUGAGUAUCGAGGAGCAAAAGAAUUUAGUCCGAAAUACCAAACGGAAGUAGAUCAGUUUUUUUUCAUUCUCGAAGAAGUGCAUAUCUUACCGGGAUCCUCAUUAAUAAUGGUCCGGAACAAUAGUAUCAUUGGAGUAGAUACACGACUCGCUUUAAAUAUAAAUACAAGAAGCCGAGUACGCGGAUUAGUCCGAGUGGAGAGAAAAAAAAAAUAUAUUGAACUUAAAAUCUUUUCUGGAGAUAUUCAUUUUCCUGGAGAGACAGAUAAGAUAUCCAGGCACAGCGGCAUUUUUAUACCACCAGAAACGGAAAAAAAAAAUUCUAAAGAAUCAAAAAAAUGGAAAAAUUGGAUCUAUGUUCAACGGAUCACACCUACCAAGAAAAAGUAUUUUGUUUCGGUUCGACCCGUAGUCACAUAUGAAAUAUCCGAUGGGAUAAAUUUAGCAACACUUUUCCCUCGGGAUAUCUUGCAGGAAAAGGAUAAUGUCCAACUUAGAGUUGUCAAUUAUAUCCUUUAUGGAAAUGGCAAGUCAAUUCGAGGAAUUUAUCACACAAGUAUUCAAUUAGUUCGGACUUGCUUAGUAUUGAAUUGGGACCAAGAACAAAAUGGUUUUAUAGAAGAGGUUCAUGCUUCCUUUGUUGAGGUAAGGGCAAAUGAUCUAAUUCGCGAUUUCAUAAGAAUUGAGUUAGUCAAGUCCACUAUUUCGUAUACCGGAAAAAGGUAUGAUAGGGCAAGUUCCGGAUUGAUUCCCGAUAAUGGAUUAGAUCGCACCAAUAUCAAUCCCUUUUAUUCCAAGGCGAAGAUUCAAUCACUUAGCCAACAUCAAGGAACUAUUGGUACGUUGUUGAAUCGAAAUAAGGAAUGCCAAUCUUUGAUAAUUUUGUCAUCAUCCAAUUGUUCUCGAAUUGGUCCAUUCAAUAGUUCGAAAUAUAACAAUUUGACAAAAGAAUCGGAUCCCCUAAUUCCAAUUAGGGAUUCUUUAGGUCUCUUAGGCGCUAUUGUACCUAAAAUAGCGAAUUUUUAUUCAUCUUACCAUUUAAUAACUCAUAAUCAGAUCGUGUUAAAGAAAUAUUUGCUACUUGACAAUUUGAAACAGAUUUUCCAAGUACUUCAAGUACUUAAAUACUGUUUAAUAGAUGAAAAUAGGAGGAUUUAUAAUCCCGAUCCAUGCAGUAACAUCAUUUUGAACCCAUUCCAUUUGAAUUGGUGCUUUUUCCAUCAUGAUUAUUGUGAAGAGACAUCGACCAAAAUUAGCCUUGGACAAUUUAUUUGUGAAAAUGUAUGUCUAUUUAAAUACGAACCACACGUAAAAAAAUCUGGUCAAAUUUUAAUUGUUAAUGUCGACUCUUUAGUUAUAAGAUCAGCUAAGCCUUAUUUGGCUACUCCUGGAGCAACUGUUCAUGGUCAUUAUGGGAAAAUCCUUUACGAAGGAGAUACAUUAGUUACAUUUAUAUAUGAAAAAUCGAGAUCUGGUGACAUAACGCAAGGUCUUCCAAAAGUAGAACAAAUCUUAGAAGUGCGUUCGAUUGAUUCACUAUCGAUGAACCUCGAAAGGAGAGUUGAAGGUUGGAACGAACGCAUACCAAGAAUUCUUGGGAUCCCCUGGGGGUUUUUGAUUGGAGCUGAGCUAACCAUAGCCCAAAGUUGUAUCUCUUUGGUUAAUAAGAUCCAAAAGGUUUAUCGAUCCCAGGGGGUACAGAUCCAUAAUAGACAUAUAGAGAUUAUUGUACGUCAAGUAACAUCAAAAGUGUUGGUUUCAGAAGAUGGAAUGUCUAAUGUUUUUUCGCCUGGAGAAUUAAUCGGAUUGUUGCGAGCGGAACGAGCAGGGCGUGCUUUGGACGAAUCGAUCUGUUAUCGGGCAAUCUUAUUGGGAAUAACAAGAGCGUCUCUGAAUACUCAAAGUUUCAUAUCCGAAGCAAGUUUUCAAGAAACCGCUCGAGUUUUAGCAAAAGCUGCUCUACGAGGUCGUAUUGAUUGGUUGAAAGGCCUGAAAGAGAACGUUGUUCUGGGGGGGAUUAUACCUGUUGGUACCGGAUUCCAAAAAUUUGUGCACCGUUCAAGGCAAGACAAAAACAUUUAUUUGGAAAUCAAAAGAAAAAAUCUAUUCGAGUUGGAAAUGAGAGAUAUUUUGUUACACCAUAGAGAAUUAUUUUGUUCUUGCGCGACAAACAAUUUCCAUGAGACAAAUUUACAUGAGACAUCAGAACAAUCAUUUAUGCGAUUUAAUGAUUCCUAAGAGCGGAUUCAUUUUAACUUUAACUAUCUUUUAACUAUACUGGUCUGAUUAUUGAUUUAGUAAUAAAUAAAAUAAGUAAUUAAAAAAAUUUAUGUGCCGUGUAUCGAUGGUCAAUCCCCGGUAGAAGGUUCCAUCGGAACAAUUAUUUAUUUCAAGGUACCUCGUCUCUUUGUUAAUAAUAAGAAAAAGAAAAAACAAAAAGGAAGUGUGGGAAAAAAUGACAAGAAGAUAUUGGAACAUCAAUUUGGAAGAGAUGAUGGAAGCAGGAGUUCAUUUUGGUCAUGGUACUAAGAAAUGGAAUCCUAGAAUGGCCCCUUACAUCUCUGCAAAGCGUAAAGGUAUUCAUAUUACAAAUCUCGCUAGAACUGCUCGUUUUUUAUCAGAAGCCUGUGAUUUAGUUUUUGAUGCAUCAAGUAGGGGAAAAAGCUUCUUAAUCGUCGGUACCAAAAAUAAAGCAUCGGAUUCAGUAGCAUCAGCUGCAAUAAGGGCUCGGUCUCAUUUUAUUAAUCAAAAAUGGCUCGGUGGUACGUUAACGAAUUGGUCCACUACGGAAACGAGACUUUAUAAGUUCAGGGACUUAAGAGCAGAAGAAAAGAUGGGGAAACUCAACCGUCUCCCCAAAAGAGAUGCAGCAAUGUUGAAGAGAAAAUUAUCUACCUUGCAAACAUAUCUCGGUGGGAUCAAAUAUAUGACGGGAUUGCCUGAUAUUGUGAUCAUCGUUGAUCAGCAAGAAGAAUAUACGGCUCUUCGAGAAUGUGCCAUUUUGGGGAUUCCGACGAUUUGUUUAAUCGAUACAAAUUGUGACCCAGAUCUUGCAGAUAUUUCGAUUCCGGCCAACGAUGACGCUAUAGCUUCAAUUCGAUUGAUUCUUAACAAAUUAGUAUCCGCAAUUUGUGAGGGUCGUUCUAGCUAUAUAAGAAAUCGUUGAUUAUGAUUAAGAUUAAGAAUAAUAAGAUUAGUUAAUGUUAAUUAUUGGGCAACUCCAUAGAUUUAUUGGAUCGGUUACUUUUUUAUCUAUUUUGCAUUUAACAAAAUAGAUAAAAAAAAAAGAACUGGGGAUAUUGAUAUAUAUUAUGAUGUUAUGUGAUUUCUUGGUAUCCUAAAUAUAUGAUUAAUGAUUCAAGUUGGUGAGUUGAGAAAGAAAUGGUUGAAUCAAACUAAUUCCUUUUUUGAAGUUCAAUUUCUAUCAGAGGACAAUAUGAAUGUUAUACCAUGUUACAUUAAAACACUCAAGGGGUUAUAUGAUAUAUCGGGUGUAGAAGUAGGCCAACAUUUCUAUUGGCAAAUAGGAGGUUUACAAAUCCAUGCCCAAGUACUUAUCACUUCUUGGGUCGUAAUUGCUAUCUUGUUAGGUUCAGUCAUCAUAGCUGUUCGGAAUCCACAAACCAUUCCGACCGACGGUCAGAAUUUCUUUGAAUAUGUCCUUGAAUUUAUUCGAGACUUGAGCAAAACCCAGAUUGGAGAAGAAUAUGGACCUUGGGUUCCCUUUAUUGGAACUAUGUUCCUAUUUAUUUUUGUUUCUAAUUGGUCAGGUGCUCUUUUACCUUGGAAAAUCAUACAGUUACCUCAUGGGGAGUUAGCUGCGCCCACGAAUGAUAUAAAUACUACUGUUGCUUUAGCUUUACCCACGUCAGUGGCAUAUUUUUAUGCGGGUCUUACCAAAAAAGGAUUGGGUUAUUUCGAGAAAUACAUCAAACCAACUCCAAUACUUUUACCAAUUAACAUCCUAGAAGAUUUCACAAAACCUUUAUCUCUUAGCUUUCGACUAUUCGGGAAUAUAUUGGCUGAUGAAUUAGUAGUUGUUGUUCUUGUUUCUUUAGUCCCUUCAGUAGUUCCUAUACCUGUCAUGUUUCUUGGAUUAUUUACAAGUGGUAUUCAAGCUCUUAUUUUUGCAACGUUGGCCGCGGCUUAUAUAGGCGAAUCCAUGGAGGGUCAUCAUUGACUAGUUUUCGAAAUAGUCUUUUUUUUUAGCUUAUCCCAAUUCAUGCAUGGUUCAAGAUAAUCUGCUUGGUUGGAGAACAUAAUAGAUAUAAAUACGUAUGAAGAUAUGACCUAGAGUCGUAGGAGAGAAGAUGAACGAUAUUACGGAAUUGUAAAAAAAAAAAAUGGGUUGGGGAGGUCACACUAGAUGUAUGUAAUGUCUAUAAGUCCAGCCACUUUUUGUGUGGGUUUCAAGGAAUGAUUCUAUAAUCCGAUUCAAUAUAAAAUGCGGCCAGUUUACGUUAUGGAAGAAAGAAAUGUAUAUGUAAUAUGUAUAUGCAAUAUUAGAUAUUCACUAGUUAUAUAGUCCUAUCUAUAUAUAAAUAUAAGUCCUUAUACCCUACCUUAUACCCUACCUAUAUACUAACUAACUAUAUAUAUCUAACUAUAUGCUAUACAUAUAUAAUAUAUAUAUAUAGUUAGUUAUAGCAAAAUAAAAAAUAUAUAUAUAUGUAUUGAUAUACAUAUUGAUAUCGUUAUAUUGAUAUAUUGAUAUCGUUGAUAUCGAUCAUAUUGAUAUCCAUUGCAUAUAUUGAUGAUUGCAUAUAUUGAUUUGAUUGCAGUUUACUGCAUUUAGAUUAGAUGGAUUACAAGAUAAGUCAAGUCCUUUCUUCUGUUUCAUUUGUGAUUGUGGAUUGGAUGAAAAAACAGAUGAACUCAAGGAUAUAGAAGAGUAAAGAACGAAGGAUUGAAUGAAAGAAUGGUUGGAAAGAAAGAAAUGCAAUAACUAGAACCGUAUGUAUAUGGAUUUACAAAAACUUCAUCAUGGGUAGAAACUAAAAACGAGAUAUCGAAGUAGUUCUGACGAGUCAGUAAUAUUAUCAUUAGUUUUUAGUUACUUCGACCCAAUAGAUCUUAAUGAUCAAACUUAAUGAUAAAAUUAAGUAAUAAUUCAUUGGUCGAUUGUAUCAUUAACCAUUUCUUUUUCUUUUUUUUGGUGCGAGGAACUUACCAUGAAUCCACUGAUUUCUGCCGCUUCCGUUAUUGCUGCUGGAUUGGCUGUAGGACUUGCUUCUAUUGGACCUGGAGUUGGUCAAGGUACUGCUGCAGGCCAAGCUGUAGAGGGUAUUGCGAGACAACCAGAAGCAGAGGGUAAAAUACGAGGUACUUUAUUGCUUAGUCUAGCUUUUAUGGAAGCUUUAACAAUUUACGGACUGGUUGUGGCAUUAGCGCUUUUAUUUGCGAAUCCUUUUGUUUAAUCCUAGAAAUGUAAAAAAGUACCUUAGAUUACAUACUCUUUUUACUUUUUUUCUUAUUUUAUUAACUUGAAAUUAAAUUGCCGUUUCCUUCUUCGAAUUAUAUCAACACUUUACUCCUAUAAUUACUUAUUUGUUGAGACUCCAGGAAGGACUGCUUUGAGGAUGAGGAAUUACCAGAUCACUCGCUUUCUUCCUUCCCGUCCUUAGCUUAGUACAAUGGAAACUUUUUUCCUUUUAGGAAACGUUUCCACAAACGAUAUAUUUCGCAAUUGAAAUGAGACCUAAGACCUAACCUAAAUGAAAUUACUAGAUUUAAUCUAUUCCCAUUAAAAAGGGGGAAAUUCAAUUAAAAAUAAAUAAAUUGAUCAAAAAAGAAAGGGGCGAGCGAAGUGAUAGAAAAAGAACUUUGUUCUUUGUCAGUCCUAUCUAUAAGAGGAGAGCAUAUGAAAAAUGUAACCGAUUCUUUCGUUUUCUCACGCCACUGGCCAUCCGCCGGGAGUUUCGGGUUUAAUACCGAUAUUUUAGCAACAAAUCCAAUAAAUCUAAGUGUAGUGAUUGGUGUAUUGAUUUUUUUUGGAAAGGGAGUGUGUGCGGGUUGUGUAUUUCAAGAAUAGGUUGGAUCCAUCCGGCUGCACUUUACUUUAUUUAUAGUUAUUUAUAGUUAUAGUAUAUUUAGGAUAAAUAGGAAAAAAGGUGCACGAUCUCGACGAAUUACUUCUGAAUAAAUUCAAAAAUCAUAUGUAAGAACCAUAGCAUUUCGUGACUUAUUGGUAAAUCAACUUUGAUUCUCUAUCAACCAAUAAUGUGAGACCAUUAACAUGGUUAAAGCUAAACUGUUUGAAGUCCAGGCAAAACAUGGUACUCUUUCUACGACUACAUUAGUACUGAAAUGUUUUCCAAAUGAAUAGUUGGUAAUUUAUCUGAUAUAGAACACUCAUAUCGAUAAAAGGAUUUGAACCAUUUACUAGAAAGAAAAGGGCACUCUGCCUUUUUUAUCCAAUGCCGAAUCGACGACCUAUGUAUAAAAAAAGAGGAAUUUUUGGAUUUGAAGAAAAAAAGAAAAAAUCUAAUUCCAAAUUAGAAAUUUUUUAAAUUUAUUUAAUUAAAUAAAAAGAAAAUUUAAUUAAAUUAAGAACAAAUACAAAUAAAGAAACAACUUUGCUGACAAUUANAAUUAUAUUCAUGAUAUUUUUUAUUGUUGAUUUUGCAUUGUCGGUUUAUGUAUUGAUGCGUAAAGGUGGUAUAAUGAUGCAGCAAGUAAACCUCAUUUUAUUUUCAAAUAUAAUUUUCUUUUAUUUUGCAGGUUCGUGUUUGAUUCGGACUUAACUUAUUUUGUUUUAGUUGAUUUAGCUAAUCCAAAUCCUUUUCUCCAAUAAACAAAGAAACUAUCCCAAAAAAGACCUUUGGAAUUUCCAAAAUUGCUUCGUCUUCUAUGCACCUUGGGUGAUCAUAUUGUAUUGAAAAUGAGAGGACAUUAAUUUAUUAUAGGAGGGCUCUCAACACUAUAAUUACUUGGUUCUUGAAGCCCUAAGGGAUAUUAUUUUUGAUGAAUAGAAAAUUAUACUCUUACUCUUUAUCCUUGGUAUUCUACUUCCUGAUGAGAUCAUCAACGCUUCUUCCUCACGUUGAGAUCGUCUUCUUCCUCAGCUUGAUCGUUGUUGCUUUUUCCUCGUGACAAGAUCGGCUUCUACUUCUACCCCUCCUCUUCUUCCGAGUCACUAGCUCACCUUCUUGUUCCCCGUUGCCGAAGUUCUACCCAUGGUGUACCGCCUUCCUUGUCGAUCGUGGAUCCCCUGCAAUCGUGUGAACGACGCACUUUUUGUAUCUCUCAUCUCUUGAUAUCCUAUUAUCCCCUUUCAAUCUAGCCUUCCACCAUUAAUAACCAUAUUUGCCAAAUAACCAAAUCUAAAAGCUUUAAGUUACGAUAAAACCGAAUUUACCUUUUGGAACUAUUAUAUGUAUUUUUAGUUGGUUGUUAUUAUCUCAUAUAUUGAUGGUUUAUCAUCAUCUUAGUAUUGCUUCAAUUUGAUUUUAAUUUUUGUCUUGCUAAAAUUUUUGCUUCCUUGCUUUAAUUAUAGUAAAUUUCAUCGGAAUCGAUAAAUUGAACCUAGUUUAUUUCAAGAAAUACCUUUAAACAAAAAGCAAACUUGAAAAUUCAAUUUUGGCAACCUCUCGGUCCGCAUCAUAUAACCUGUGUAUUAUGGAGGAUUUUUUUUUCCUAUCAGGGAAAGUUUGAGAGACUGUUAGGUCUAUGUUUUGAAAAUUUAGUUGCUUUGGGAAAUCAAUAGUUGUAUAUAAUCUUCUCAAAUUCUUCAUUUGCUAAGCAUUAUAACCAUUGGUGUCUGUCAUGAGCAUAAUGUAAGUAGUAUGUUCAGCAAUGUUUUAAGCUGCCGCUACGCCUGCCAUAGUGGCUGCUAUAGCAUAAUUACUACGCUACCACUACGCCACGAUAUUAAAAGUGGGAUUUAGUGGAGUUGGUUCGUAGUGGCCACUUUAGCGGCAUUAGGCUUGCUAAAGUGGGUGCUAUAAAGUGGGGUUGAAGCGACUGUUAUGUGCUCAAAAUCUGGAAAAUUGCAAACGGGUCAAAUUACCUUACUGGUCGGAUUUCUAAGUUAAUUAAAAUGACUAAAAACCUAUAAAUGGAUUAUAGAUUUUCUAGUUUAUUGUCUUUUUGGCUUGUUAAAUCACAAUAUUUUGAAGGUAGUUGUACAUAUAGUGAUAGUAAAUAUAUAUAGGCUUGCAAUACUAGAAAAAGGUAAUGGUUAGUUGUACUUUCUUCAAAAUCAUAUGUAUUUUUUAUGAGGAAUAUAGACAAAACUUAUUUUUUUGUGAAAUCCGCUAUAGAUUUGUAGCGCCCGCUCUAGCACCCCCUAUUCGCUUUCUACUAUAAGAUCCCCCAAAUGUUAUGUACCCGCUAUCAGCUAUUUACAACCUUAAUGUUCAGUAUGAACAUACACCAAUGUUCUAAAAUGCAGUAUGUGUUGUCUAUGUGGGUACCCAUCGCAUAACGCAUAUGCAGUAUGUGGGCGCAUAUGCAGUCCUUUUGUUAAAGUAUUAAAAAGUAUUUAUAGGUGUUAAAGAUAUGUAUAAAUGCUUCCUAACAAAGCUAAAUAACUAAAGUAACAAUUCAAGAUUUACAAAUUGAAAUAAUUAAAGUAAAGAACUUCAUAUGAACACAUGUGCCACUAAACUAAAUAACUAGCAACUUACUCUUAAUUAUUAAAUAGAGGAAUAAAUAGAAUUUCAGUGCAAAAUUAUAAAAAAUGUCAAACAAAAAUCAAUGUUUUAAAAAGCAGUAUGCUAAACUUUUAUGAAGAAUAAUAUUUUUUCCAAUAGACCAUCAUUCAUGUCAUUUGGUAGGCUAACACUUUCAAACAUUAGUAUUAUAACCUUUAACAACUACAAAAUUAUUCACCAAUAUUUAUAAACUAUGUUGUACGGAUAAGGAUACGGGAAUACGGAUAUGACACGAUAUGGGCACUACGAUAUAACAUUGUCCCAAAACUUUAGGAUAUGAUAAGCCAGGAGUACUUAAAUAAAAUAUUAUUUUAAUAUAUAUAAAUAAAUUUAUGUUGAUUAUAUGUCAUCACAUAUUGAAAUAUAAGAAAUAAACAAAUGGCUAAAAGCAAAACAAAUAUAGUAUUUCCAUUCGCCACAAAACAUCAUAAUAUUCAUCUUACAACUUACAUACAUGUAUAGUCCACAUCCAAAACAAUAAAAAGAAAAGAACAGAUUUUCAUCAAAAGGCUUUAUUUUGGUUCAGUUUCAUUCUCGUUGGAAUCAUCAAUAAAUACCACACUCCAAAUUUGGCUUACCAAGUGAAAGAUUUGCAAUUUCAAGAACACCAACACUAUCAAAUGUGUCAAAAGAAUCUCCUCCAACACUCCACAUCUUGUUCUCUCCUUUUAUAUAUUCUGGAGACCUCCUUGAUAAAAGGCGAAGAUUAGUAUGUACAUAUGCUAAAGGCAUAAUCUUAUUCCUCUUCAUGGAGUGAAUGAAUGAGUAGGUACCCCAAUUCCGCUCGCAACAUGAAGAGGAGCAAGGGUGGCCAAGUAACUUUAGGGCUAAAUCUUGGAGCAUAGGUGCUCUGGCACCAUGAAUGAUCCACCACUUCUUUGGGUCAAGGGCCUCCUUAUCUUCAUGAGUCAUGCUCAUCAAAUCCCUCUCCGGCAGUGGAAAAAUUUGCAAAUUUCUGAUUUACAAUUAUUCUUUCUUUAUUAUUUGGAAACAAUCUUUUUAAGCACUUGUUUCUCAUCUUUGAUAUCUCCAAAUCCUUAUGCAGAGGAACUUGAUUUGGAUCCUCAUUAAUCCACGAUGAGCUAUAGUAUCUAAUGAAUACAAAAAAAUGAAAAUUAGGAUACGAUAGUUGUAUUACAAAAUACAAAUGAACAAAAGUAUAUAUGAGGUUUAGGGCAAUAAUAUUGUUUAAAGAAUGUGCCAAGCAAUAAAGUGGAGUGUUGCUUUUAGCCUAUCAAUCAAUCAAAAUUUUGUGCACAGCAUAAUAAAAUGACGAUUCCUCAUCUUCUUUCUUUCCUUCACCCCUAUAUAUAGCAACUUUCACCUUUUCAAUCAUACAUAGAGUCCCACGUUUCAUAUAUCAAAUAUAAGGUAGGCUUGUUGGUAUCGGCUAUCCGAAACAUCUCAUAUAUGGGUUCGGUAAAAGAAAAAAUAUAGUUAAUUUGAUCCCAUCACAAUUCGUUGAGAAUUCUAUCUUUACAAAUUAUGCUUUUCCCACAUCAUCCUCUCUAUAGCUAGCCCACUUGUCACUAAUCACCAUAUUUUGGAGACCCCAUUUGAUUUGCUUGAAUCGUCUUAGCAUAACGAUAACCGAGGCGAAUCCAGUCUCGCCACCGCAAGCAUUUUCAAGUUGACAAACUCAUUAAAGAUUGCCAAUCUCAUAGAAUGAUUCAAGAUAAAAUUCUUGAUGCAUGCUACGUCUUCCGCUAUGAUACUAAUCCAACUACAUUCAUCAAAAGUAAUUUCAUUGUCCUCAGUAUUCUUAGCCGCACAAAUAUUUUUUAAUGCAAGGUUCAAUGUGUGCACAACACAAGGAGUCCAAAAUUUUGAAGGAAAUUGUGCUUCAAUCAACAUUCACAUAGCUUUGCAUAUGGGAGCAUUAUCCGUCAAUACUUGGACCAUAUUUUGGGGUCCAAUCUCUUCAAUAAUUUUCAAAAUCGUUAGCAAUAAAAUAUUUAUCCUUAUAUUUCCCUUCGCAAUUGAUCGCUUUGGGAAUAUCGGUCCACUCUUUGUUACGGCCAAAAAGUUGAUCAAAGACCUUCCUUGUGCAUCAGUCCCUCCAUAUACAAUGCUUAAACCCUUCUCCUUCCAAGUGCUUUUUAUAGGCUCCAAUAACCUCUCGAUAUUUGUUCUUUCCUGUUGAAGAAGACUGGUUCUCAACGUAUUAUAAUUGGGAUGUAUAAAACCUGAAAUAUUAUGAUUAGCCGCAAAAGUAUAGGAGCUAACAUAAUUAGGGUUUCUUGCAAGAUUAAAGGGCAAACCACCAUAAUAAAACAUUCUAGCAAUCGCGCAAUGUAGCUGGUUUCGAACCGCCAUGUUGAAUGACUUCUUUAGAGUUGUUUCACGUGUUGAUGUUGCCCUUCUUUUUCUUGGCUUGAAAAAUUGCUCCUCCAUACUCUCUAUACUUGUAUCAGAAGAAAGAUUGGUAAUAGUUUUUAGCAAAGGAACUUGUUUAGAGAUAGAAUUCCUUAACCUUAAUUCUACCUCUUCAACAAGUCUUUUCAUUUCCGCAAUAUUAUCACUAGCAAUCUUAGAGCAACCUUUGAUUCCUUGUCCUAAAAUUCUCAAUAAAUGGGCUUUAACCCUAUAAUACGAUCCAUUAUAUACUUGUUUUUAAAAAUUGCAUUCCGACCUCAUGUUUCCUCUACCAUCCUCUAACAUUCCACCUUUCUUCCAUACUUCCAUAAUAGAGUAUUAACAUUAGUGCUACUCCCUCCGUACCUUGAUUGGCAAUGAAUUAGAGGAGUAGACAAGAAAGAUCGACUUUGGAGGAAAGGGAUUUGGGCGGGGCAGGUGGGUGAAAUUGGGCUUGACGGAUCCAAAAAUAUAAAGAAUAUAAAAAUAAUAAUUUUCUAUCAGAAAAAAUUUAUGCGGAUCCAGAUAUCAGAAAAAAGAAUAUAAAAAUAAUAAUCAUAUAUCAAAAAAAAUUUAACGCUCUAAAACCAUAUCUGUAUCCAACCGGAUUCGGAUAUUUUCUAUGUGGAUCCAGAUAUUAUCGAAUAUGAAUACGGAUAGUUUUGGAUAAUAUCCUAUCCGUUUUCACCCCUAACACAGUCAUACACAAUUUCAAUAUAGAAAAGUUUAAUGCAAUUACAUUUGUGAUAUAUGAGAUCCUUAGCAAUCAUUUAAUUGCCAUAAAACCUCAAAGUAUUGAUUAGAUAAAUUUAUUCCUGAAAUAAUUAAUCAUUCAAUCAUAUUUUGCCUAUUUCCGAAUAGUAUAACUGUAUAAGGAUAGUAUGUAAGCUAUAAAUCUUUAAGACUUUAACAAAGCAAAAUAUGCUAGCAUUUGAAAAAAAUAGAGAAAAAAGGACUAUUAUGUUAUUUUGUAUAAUCUUUGUAGGUUGGUAACAUUAUUGGCCAAUUUUUUUUAAGAAAGUAAAAGUUAAAACUUAAACACCUAAGCUCAUGACAUUUAAUACUAAAGAAAAAAGAAAGAGAGAGAGAUUUAAAAGCCCAUGGAGUUUAAUAAGAGAGAGAGAGAGAGAGAGAGAGAGAGAGAACCUCAAAGCUAGCUGCCGGCCACAAGCAGGGCAGCCGUGGCCAUGAGGAAGAUGGCCACCACCAUGGCAUUGUAGCUCUCCAUCGUCUAGACCCCACCGCUCACCCAAAAGUAUGGUUCCUCUCUCUCUCUGUCUUAAUCUCGCUCGGAAAAAAAUAAAAAGGAAAUUGAUGUACCCAAAAGAAAGUUUCUUUUUUUAUAUUUCUUAUAGUUUUGGAUGCUGGUGUUUUUAAAAAUUUUUAAAUCCGACCUGUUUAGACCCAAAAAUAUGCCUCCCUUGUCUCGCCUGUAUCCCAAAAUGUGUGCCGCGAUAUCCCGAAUUGUGUCCAUCCGUAUCCAUCAUAUUCGAUCCGUAUUCGGUAUCUUUUUUAAAAUUCCACAUACUUCAAUUCCGUAUCUGAUACGUAUCAAGCAUGUAUCGGGUGCGUAUCCGUGUCCGAUACAUAUCCUAUAUGGGAACGGGCUGUAAUUUAGAGUGUCUGUGCAUCAUAGUUUAUAAACAUAAUUAUUAGAUGUAUUAUAAAUAAUACCUAUUAAAAUAAUAAUAGAAAUAUUUAGGUUAUAUAUGUAAAAGGAUAAUUACAUUUACAUGCAUUGUUAUUAGCUAAACUUGCAUGAUAAUAAUCAUAUGUAUAUGUAUAAUCAUUAACCAAACAAUCCUAUUUAGCAUUGCAUUUCAAUCCUGCUUUAAAAAACAGAAAAAGAAAAAUACUACUGCAUAUUCAGCCGCAAAUGUGGUAGCUUGCCGCAUAUGCGGUCCGACCGCAUACUGCACCACAUAUUAUAUAUGCAGUGCAGUUAGUGGUUCAACCCGUAUGUGCGGCUGCAUAUGCGGCCCCAUCGACCAUGUUUUGGAACAAUGACAUACGCAAGUGUGCAAAUGCUUAUUACCUGAUUAUGCUCUUUUUGCGCUAUGAUUUCUUGCUAGAAUAAGUUGGGUAACUCAACUCUUUAUGAUACCGUAGAGCCUUUUAAACGCUCUUUUGUGACUUGUUAAAUGCACAAAUAAUUGGGAUUAUCGAGUACAGAGAACAUGCAUGGCAAUUUAACUACUUAAUUAGGGCCUGUUUGGGUGUUAGAAUAAGUUAUCUGGUGACAAUUAACACGCUAUAGAGGAUUCAGCUAGGUAUUUUCUUAGUCUAUCACAAAAUCCUGGAAGUUAUUAAUUCUUUCAGAUAAUGCAUUCCACUUAAGUGAUGAUUUAUCUUACUCUGAGAUGUUGACUUGGAGGUUGUUGCAAGAUCCUUGAAUAAAGAAAAGAGAGUCCCGACAGGUCCUAAAUGUUUAGUGGGCGCACAUUGUUUCGAAAGGCUAGUAUGUAAUUGGUCAAAACACAAAAUAGUGCUUAGCUACAUGUGGUAUGUUUUUUUGGCAUAAUUAAAUAACUAAAAUUAGUAACUCUCAAAUUUAUGAAGGUGAGUAGUUCUUGAAAAGUGAGGUGAAUAAAUAAUGAUUUGCCAUAAUGUGGUAAAUAGAAUUAUCAAAUCCUAAUGUAUCAAAGUUUAUGGACCCUACAUUUUGUACGGACAUGUUCACCUUAAAUUUGCAAAGACUAAAAUUGCACCCUAAUACUUAAAUGCCAAAAAAUAACUGCUUAGUUUGUGCUUUGAUUGUUCCAAUUUUGCCCCACCACCGCUACUCAGUCAUUUUCACCCUUUGUGCCUGAAGAUGAGGCCUGUGUGUGUGUGUGUGUGGGGACAAUGUUACCUACUUCCCUUUUACCCUUUGCUUUUGCCACUCCCCCGUUCUAUUGUUAAUACUUUGCUUUCUUCUCUGCCAGUAGUAUGAUCCACACCUUUUGGGUGGAAGCUACAUCUAUGCAUGCCCUAGUUUGUAAUUGGGUUAACAGUGCUUCUGGUGCAGACAUCGUUGUAGGUGUCUCCGGAAGAAGAAAGGAAAUAGGAUGAAAUAAAAGAAAAGGAGAGAGAAGAAAGAAAAAUAGGUAGAAAUGGAGAGGGAAGGAGAGGGAAGGAGAGAUGCUAGGGAAGAAGGGGACUACACUCUUGUCCUGUAUGCAUGGGUUCUGACGAGAAGGGGGUAAGUAAUGAAUUUUUUUCCUUCAAAUUUGGAAUGCGUGCCAUGAAGAGAGAAUGAGAUUUUGCAUUUUUUUUAGGAAAAGCUUAAAAAUUGCCUUUUGUAUUUUAGAGUUCUUGCAGUUUAGGAAAAUUACUAUUUUUGGGAUGCAUCCAGAGAGAGAGUAGAGUAUUUUAACAAAUAUGCAGUUCAACUUAAGAAAAUUACUCAAAUCAAAAGAAUUGAAAGUAUUUCUAUAGCAUACAAGUAUUCCAAAAGAUCUCUUGGAAUAUUGUUGAUGAGUCAGUAUUAUAUACAUGAUAGAUAGUGAUUGCCUUGGCUUUUGAAAUUUCAAACAUGACCUCUAGUAAUACAUUUCUUUUAAAAUGCUAAACCAAUGGCUAUCAUCAACACUGCAUGUAUAAUGCUGACUUAUCAACAAUAUUUUGAGGGACCUUUUGGUAUAUGUGAAGUAUCACUAUUGGCAUAAUGGUAGGUCUAUUGACAGUUCAACAAUUUAUUGUUGAUUAUGUGACACCACCACUGUCUUGUAAUGGAUAGAGUGGUGACUAUCCAUCGAUAUAUAAGGGACUAGCACUCUAAUGAGUAUCUUGGGCUUAAGCAUUCUGAUUUAGUGGCGCGCCUAAUAAGUUGCUAAUACUAGUGGUUUAGAUGGUGUGUUACAUUCAGUAUUAUAGAAAAUUGCCAGCUAAAUGUGUGGAUACAAUAUAUGGAACAAUGUGCUAUACUGUUGACAUAGUGGAAGCCACCUCUUGAACCUGUAGGAGCCAUCUUUGCCCUCCUCCAGUGCUUGGUGGGUCUGAUUUGUGUUAGUUGACCUGACGAGGACAUCAAGACGUAAAAGAGAGAAGCUAAUGAUACCGCAAUAGUACUGUUUGGAUAAGUAGAUAAGGACUAGCACUCUAAUAUUUGUAACUUGGGUUUAAUCAUUGUGGGCAAGUGAUUCAGGCCCAACAAGUUGCUAGUAGUAAUGAGCUAGUUGGUGUAUUAUAGAUCAAGAAUGAAAGAACAAAAAUUAGAUAAGAAGGUUUAUUAUCAUGAUCUUUUAACAGAGGUCACAUGUGGAUAGGUGAAACCGUGAAAGGACGCCGUUUUAGUUUUGGUACUUUUCUUUGUUUAGUUUUUUAAAAAUAGUUUAGGUCACCGAGUGCUUGGAUUUAAACCAUGAGUUAGGAUGGAUAACAUAUGUCACACAACAAAGAUUUUAUAAGUAGCUCUCAAUCGAAUUUUUGUCCAUUAUAAAAAGAUCAGUUGAGCCUUAUAGAUCACAUAGUCACGAGUAUGCUAUUCCAGUUUUGAUGAGGUUGAAAAGUUCUAAAUUUGGAAAAUUUGGAAAAACAUGAAAAAAUGUUCAGCAAUAGUUCAGCUAGUAAAAUAAAAAUAGGGCUUUUUUGUUAUUUGGCCUUCUUAAAAAAAUUUAUUUCCAAAAUAGCCUCACCAAAUUUGUAAUUGCAAUUUUGGCCCUCCUUGCCACGCAGGUGGCGUCAGCGGCACGCGAGCAGAGUUGGGGCUAGGGUGUUAAGUUGAACACGGUGAACCAUUCACCGUGUCCAAACACGGUGAAUGGUUCACCGUGUUUAGUGAACUUAUAAUGCCUCACGCUGAGGAAAAUAAUACAUUAAACACAGUGAACUAUUCACUGUGUCCAAAUACGAUCAAUGGUUCACCGUGUCUAAACACGGUGAACCGUUGACCGUGUUCAGUAGAACUCCACCCAGGUUAUUGCAGAUUUCAGCACAACAAUACAACAAAUCGUGAUACAUCGACAACACAACAAAUUCAACAUCAAUAACACAACAACAAAUCCACCACAACAACACAACAAUAAAUCCACCACAACAACACAACAAUAAAUCCAACAAAACAUCAAUAGAGUAUCAAUACUAUAUCAUCACAACAAAAUAUCAAAAAAUAGAGUAAGUUUAUCAAUAAUUUAGAAAUUUUUGUGCAAUUUAAUAUUUACAAAAAAUGUAAUGUCAUGUUCUCCUCCUAGUCCGUCGACCACGUCGACCUACACGUCCCCUACCAUGACCGUGACCACGAUCAACGCCAUGCUCAUCGAAGGGCUCUGACUUCCAACUGGACGAGAUGUUCGAUAGAGCACCCUCAACAACUGGCUGAGUGUCCUGCGUCUUGAUCACCUGUCUGAUCUCGUGCUCAACCAUAGCAGGUGUUGGUAGUAUGUCUGGUCGUGGAGGAGCCAAAGAUGAGGGCUGAUUUGCGUGGAAAGACUGUAACUGCCUUCGACGCCUACGAUAAACAAUAUCAGUUGGUCGAGGUGGAUCCUCUAGUACUGGAGGUGGAUCCUCUGGUACUGGUACUGUGUCUGGAUGAUAAGACAGCUCCUCUAUCGAUGAAGAUGGUCUCGACGGACUAUACAAUGGUACAUGGCCUGACGUCGAUGGUCCACCAUGUUCUGCUGGCCGUGGAGGUACUGUGUCUGGAAGCGUAGGUAGAGUCUCCAAAACUACUUUCAUUUGAUCGACAAUUUUUGAUAGGGCUUUUAAUACCCCGCCAUAUGGAAUAUUUGGCAGGACACGUCUAAUCGUAUAAUGUGAUUUCUGCACGACAUCGACCUGAAAUAAAAGCAUCAUCGUAAAAAUUACACUAAACUUUAUGUAUAAAAAUAAAUAUAAAGAGAUUAUAUAUUAAAAUCAUACUAAUACUCUCUCGACAUAUCCACGUGGCUGAUACGCAAGUGGUGGGCGCUGUACUGGCCUAGAUAUCCACCUUUUGGUGAUCCUCCAAUACCACGGCAUGUAAAUAGUGGUAGCUCGAAUAGGAUCUGGAUCUACUUCAGGGUCCACCUCUAUUAUGUUGAUCAAUUUAUCAUCCCAACACUGAAUAUAUGAAGCAUGAUAUGCCGCCCAAUUCUCAUCGGCUCUACCUCGUGAAGUGAUGCGAGGUAUGACAACCAUUCCUUCAGGUAUAUGCUCCAGAAGACCAAACUGUCGAAGCAUACGAUCUGGAAGAUAUAGCUUAAUAAUAUGGAAGCAGACUAAGGUCGUCCUAGAUCGCCAAACUUCAGAUCCCGCUACACAAAAAGGUGGGAGUGUCUCUAAUACUGCAUCUGUACAAGGCCUCCAUAUAAUCUAUUGUGAAAAAUAAAUAUGGUUACUUACCCUCUCGUUUUUAAAUAAAAUUUACAGUUAUAAUAAUAAGUCGCAAUGGGGCAAGGAGGGGCUUGGUCUAGCAUUUGAGGCCAAACCCCCCUCCCUCCGAGGGAGAAAAAAAAAGGAGAGAACUUUGAACUUUUGGACCUAAAUAAGCCCCAAACAGCCAAAAAAAAUAAAAAUCUGACUGUUGCUCGGAAAGGCCCAGCCCUUAUUGCUCAGGCUAGGAGGCUAUGCUGAGCCAUAGGUUCGGGAAAUUUGGCCAGAGACGGCACGGCUCGGCCCCCAGCCUGGUUCGGUCUGUUAAAUGUGGGCUGUGCCACCCAUGCACGGCCCACAUUACACCCCUACCUUUGCCUCUAUUAAGUAGUUUUGAUGGUAAGAUGAUAGUUGGACUAACUUCAAAGGAUAAGGUUUUUCAUUCACUGUUUUUUCUACAACUGUAGCAAGUAACAUUACAUUGUAGUGUUAUGGUUCUCUUCCUAGUAAAUUUUGAGGAAACACUAAUAUGUCCCUUUCAGUUGGGUUGAAGAUGCUGUAUUGGCUAAUGUGAAGGAAGAUAAACAGGGAUGCACUUGGUUUGUAGUACAGAAAAAAUGUGGGUGACUGUAAUCUUCUUCUGUUGCUUUAUUGACCAUUAAUUAUAGCCACAUGAACUGUCAGGAUUUGUACUGCCUAGUUAUGUACCUCUCUUCAGUAAUUUCCUGUGGGAUAAAUUGCUUGGUACAUCUUUUAAGUCACAUAUGGGUAUCUAGAAGUUGCAUAAUGAAGAGUCUGUUCUGCUAAAUCUGGCAUUCUUCAUGAAGGUCGGCAUAUGUUCUCUCUGGAGACAACUGUUCAGACAUGCAGGAGUGAAAUUUCUUUUUUUAUCUUUAUUGGCAAAUGAUUUCUUGCAGAUCUAUUGUUUAGCUGCAGGAGCUUAAGGGUGGGAUUGUUUGUGCAUAUACUGAAGAACUAAUAGCUUUAGAAUGAUAAUUUACAAAGUUAAUAUGACUAAAGUACAUGAUAAAUUGUCCACAAGCUGAACGGGUGCAUGUUAUGUUGAACUUUCUUACUCUUUCAUAUGAUCUCCAAGUUUGCUCCUGUGGAGACGAAAUUUGAGCUUGGCUGGGGUGCUAUUAAUGGCACAUAGUCUUUGGUACUCUUUACAAAGGAAAAAAAUAAUUUUUGAAUUUCACAAAAUUAUUCAGCUCUGAGAAAGUUUAAAUACAUCAUGUUUAGCGAUGUCAAUUGUUGAUUUGGAUGUCUUUAUAAUCGAAAAAGAAUCUAUUGCACAAAGGGCUUGAUGCAAUUAAUGACACCCUAGGUCAACUCAUGGAAUUUUCCUGUAUACCUUCUAGACUAUAAACUAUGACGAGCCUUUCUCUUAUAGUCUUUUUAUGAAAUUCUUGUUGGAUCAAGGUUAAGCCAAGUUUUGAGUCGAUUCUACGGUUAAGCGUCGAGGAUAAAGGUUACUGGAUGUCAUGUUCUGGAACCUAAGAAGUCUUCCAGAACAUAGGUCAACGGGGGCCAAGGUUCUACAGAACUCGAAGGUGUUGGAUGGAGGCUGGUAUGUGGUGUCAUGUUCUGGAACCUCUUACUCGUGUUAUGGAACAUGGUUCAUAACCAGCAACUCAGGUUUCGGAACAUGACAAUAUGUUAGGUUCCAGAGCUAGCUCUUUUAGGUUUUGGAACGAGUGGCUGUGGUGAACAAGUCAAGUUGGAUUCGACUCUGAUUUGAUCUAAUUUUGUGGUUUAAGGAGUUGGACUAGGAACAUCUUAUGGAGGGUUUUUAAGCAGAGAUCGACAACUAAGAAGUGAAUUGGAAGACUCGGAUGGUCGAUAGUGAUUUCUUCCCUUCUAUUUUGAGUUGGGGGUUUAAAAUCUUGUAAUUCCUGUUAUAGUAUUUAGAGCUUCAAUGUGAAACUCUUGUUAAGAAAGAAAAGAGUGGGAGAGCCUGAAAGAGAUUCUUGUAUUGACUUUACUGCAUGUACUUUUUGUCCUGUGGAUAAAUUGAAGAACGCAUUGAGAAGAUCUUGCCUACGGACAAAGGUCUACAUAUCAUUGGCCGAACCACGUAAAUUUCCUCUAUGCUUUGUUAUCUUUAUUGUUUUGCCGUUUUUGUGCUUGUUUUCUCAAGCGAUCUCGUCAAGUUUUAUACGUAAGAUCCAGUUUUCCGCUACUCUGUUGUGUCGAGAGGGUUUCGAGGUGUUUUUAUUCGGGUCCAAGUGGUUGUUUCAAUUGUUUGGUUUCCCUCUUUGUAUCUAGUAUCUUAAUCCAUUAAAUAUUCUUGUGACAGCGACUUGCUGUGGCAAGCAGCUUCAUGAAAUUACGCUACUUGGUUUUGGCUCCAUUUGCAACACUAGUAAAUACUAUUCACUCUGCUCACCCUCAUACCAUAGUAUCUCAAUAAGAGAACCACUUUUUUUGACCAAGUAAAAUAUUGUUGAUUGUUAGUCUAUUUCUGCAUGGCUUUGUUAACGUGAUUACAGAAUUAAUUUACGAAAGCAAGCUGGAUUGAUUCGAAUCAGAAAGUGCUUCACUUCUCGAUUUUGCUCUUAUUAUGUGAAUGAAAUAACUUUUUUGUCCUUACUGUUACAUGUUUUUCCUCUUAAUUAAGGUUCCUGAAGAUUUUUUCUUCUUUUUUUUUUUUUUUGUCCUCUCCUUUUUGUUCAGAAAGAGAGACUGGAGAGAGAGAUGGAGAUCAAGAGGAUCAGAGACGAACUUCUUGCUAAAGCAAAAGAAAAUGAUUCCCCGGCAUAAACAUUUCGCUAUCCUACUCUGUAAUAUUUAAAAUUUGUUUUGAAGUUUUCCUUCUAGCGACACCAAGAGAUCUCUCUCAGAGAUAUGAAACAAGCUUUGCCAAUAUAUUCUGGUAAUAAGCAAGGCAGGUUUUACCGUCAUAACUGACCAUUUGUUACUGUGUUAUCGUGGGACCGAUUGUUGAUUACUCGUCAUAUUUGCAUUCGCACAUGUGUUUCUGCAUACGAUAUAUACUACAAUUCAGGCCCCUUGUGUGAAUCACCUCCAUAGUUUUGUUUCCGAGAAGCAACCGUGCAAAAUAUUUUUUGCUGAAGAAAAAGCAAACCAAACCUUGUGCAUCAUCCAUCACUCUGUAAUUUUGGAGGCGAACGGCGCCAUCAGUUGUCUUAAUAACUUGAUAUAUUUUGCAGAGAAGAUUAUUUGAGAAUAGGGCCGGCAAAUGAGCGAGCCAGCUCGUGUUCGACUUGUGUUCGGCUUGAUAUUUGGCUCGCUCGAGCUCGGCUCGAAUUAAUUUCAAGCAAGCUUGAGCCUAAAUUUAGGCUCGAAAUUAAUUUCAAGCCGAGCUUGAGAAUUACUCGGCUCACUCGAAUUAAGCUCGAAAAGUUCGAUAUAUAUAUAUAUAUAUAGAGAGUGAGGCUACUAUACUUCUGGAAGCACGGACCUUUCCGUGCUUCCAGGUUAUUUUUAAUGUUCCGACUUUCGAAUCGUCUAUCGCCUUCGUUAAACUUGAUCUAGAGUAUUUGAAGUAUAUUUGCUUAAUGAACUAAGGGGCUCAAACUUAACGGCUGAAAAUAAAAAUCUUACAAAACGUGAUAAUAUGAUAUUAAAAUUUUAGAUCAAAGAUAUUGAUCUUGUUUUAUAUAGUAUAAAGAAUUUCCAAUCAAAAUUUCAUAUGAUUUGGAUAUUUCUACACCGUUAAACUUGCAAACGGCUCACCACGGUCAUUAAAAUUAUUGAUUUUGAGUCCCUUCGAUCACUAGGCAAAUGAUAUCGAAAAAUUAUAAAAUUUAUUUUCUAAAUACUUCAAAUACUCUAGAUCAAGUUUAAUGGAGCCCAUUGACGAUUCGAAAGUCGCAACAUCAAAAACGACCUGGAAGCACGGAAGGCUUCGUGCUUCAAGAAGCAUAGUAGCCUCUCUCUCUCUCUCUCUCUCUCUCUCUCUCUCUCUCAUAUAUAUAGAGAGAGAGAGAGAGAGAGAGAGAGAGAGAGAGGCUACUAUGCUUAUGGAAGCACGAAGCCCUCCGUGCUUCCAAGUCGUUUUCGAUGUUCCGACUUUCGAAUCGACAAUCAGCUCCAUUAAACUUGAUCUAGAGUAUUUGAAGUACCUAGAAAAUAAAUUUUACAAUUUUUCGAUAUCAUUUGCCUAGUGAUCGAAGGGACUCAAAAUCAAUAAUUUUAACGACCGUGGUGAGCCGGUUGCAAAUUUAACGGUGUAGAAAUAUCCAAAUCACAUGAAAUUUUGAUAGAAAAUUCUUUAUACCAUAUAAAACAAGAUCAAUAACUUUGAUCUAAAAUUUUAAUAUCAUAUCAUCACAUUUUGUAAGAUUUUUAUUUUCAGCCGUUAAGUUUGAGCCACUUAGAUCACUAGGCAAAUGAUAUCGAAAAAUUGCAAAAUUUAUUUUCUAGAUACUUCAAAUACUCUAGAUCAAGUCUAACGAAGCCGAUAGACGAUUCGAAAGUCCGAACAUCAAAAACAAACUGGAAGCACGGAAACCUCCGUGCUUCCAGAAGCAUACUAGCCGCACUCUAUAUAUAUAUAUAUAUAUAUCGAACUAUUCGAGCUAAAUUCGAGUGAGCCGAGUAAAUCUAAAGAUCGGCUUGAAAUAAAUAUAGAGCCUAAAUUGAGGCUCCUAAGCUUGCUUAAAAGUAACUCAAGCCGAGCUCGAGCGAGCCAAAUAUCAAGCCGAACACAAGUCGAACAAGAGAUAUGCGGCUACGAUCAUGUGCCGGCCCUAUUCUCAAAUAAGCUUCACUGCAAAAUAUAUCAAGUUGAAUAAGACAAUCUAAUGGCGCCGUUCGCCUCCAAAAUAAUCAGAGAGAUGGAUGAUGCAAAAGGUUUGGAAAAAAUUUACUUAAGCAAAAAAUAGUUUGCACGGUUGCUUCUCGGAAACAAAACCAUGGAGCUGGACUCACACAAGGGGCCUGAAAUAUAGUAUAUAUCAUAUGCAGAAACACAUAUGCGAAUGCAAAUAUGACGAGUAAUCAACAAUCGGUCCCACGCUAUAUAUAGUACCGGGGCUCCGGUACUAUAGUAUCGUUUUCAAUCUUAGGGUGUUUAAAUCAACGAUUCACACAGUUAAAACUGAUUUAACAUAUUUAAAGUUUUUAGAAAUAAAAUUUUAUAUUUUUUCGAUAUAGUUUACUUUAUGAUCAAAUCAUUUCAAAAUUGUCAAUUUUCAAUAGCUACUAUGGCGAGUUUAGAGUUUAACGGUGUAGAAGAAUCUAAAUUUCUUCAAAUUUUGAUAGAAAAUACUUUAAACUAUCUAGAUUAAGGUUAACAUUCUUGAUCUUGAAUUUAAAAGUCCAAUGCUCAAAGUUUAAAGAUUAUUUAAUUUUCACCGUCCAUUUUUACAUAAUUUAUUUACUGAGUAACUGAUGUCGAAGAAAAUUAAAAUUUUAUUCUUAAGAACUUCAUAUACCCUAUAUUAUAUUUAACGGUGAACACCUUAAGGUCGAAAACAAGACUAUAGUACCGGAGCUCCGGUGCUAUAGAUAGUAUAGUAGCCUAAUUCUAUAUAUAUAUAUAUAUAUAUAUAUAUAUAUAUAUAUAUAUAUAUAUAUAUAUAAUUAUGCUACUAUACUAUCAAUAGUACCAAGUCCUUGGUACUAUUNNNNNNNNNNNNNNNNNNNNNNNNNCUCUCUCUCUCUCUCUCUCUCUCUCUCUCUCUCUCUCUCUCUCUAUAUAUAUAUAUAUAUAUAUAUAUAUAUAUAUAUAUUCUACUAUAUUAUUAAUAGUAUCAAUCACUUGCUAUUAGGUUUCGGUCUUUGGAUAAAGGGAUGUGCGGUUAGAAUGAUGGUGAUCCCCUGGGAUUGAGUGGGUGGUUAAUUGAAUAAUAUGAUCUAACGGAUGGAAAUGGUCAAAAAGGUAGAUCUAACAGCACACAAUUCGAUAGCACAAAGCAUUUGAUACUAUUGAUAAUAUAGUUGACGGACUCUAUCUCUCUCUCUCUCUAUAUAUAUAGUCCGGCUACUAUACUAUCUAUAGUAUUGAUAUANAUCUAACGGAUGGAAAUGGUCAAAAAGGUAGAUCUAACAGCACACAAUUCGAUAGCACAAAGCAUUUGAUACUAUUGAUAAUAUAGUUGACGGACUCUAUCUCUCUCUCUCUCUAUAUAUAUAGUCCGGCUACUAUACUAUCUAUAGUAUUGAUAUAUAGUACUAAGCGCUUUGUACUAUUGAAUUUUCUACCGUUAGAUUUGCCUAUAUAUAUAUAUAGAGUCUGGCUAUUAUACUAUCGAUAGUACCAAGCAUUUGAUGCUAUCGAGUUUUCUGCUGUUAGAUCUAUUCCUUUGGUCAUUUUCAUUUGUUAGAUCAUACUAUUUAACUAGCCACCUACUCAACCCUAGGGGACUACUAUCGUCCUUACCGCACAUCCCUUCAUCCAAAGGCCAAAACUCUAAUAGUAAGCGGUUUGUACUAUUGAUAGUAUAAUAACCAAAUUCUAUAUAUAUAGGCUCGGGCUACUAUACUUUUAUAAGUAUAGACCUCUUUAUAUUUAUAAAUUUUCAGCCAUUGGAUGUGCGAUUAGAAUGAUAGUGGUCUCCUAAGAUUGAGCGGGUGGUUCGUUGAAUAGUAUGAUUUAGCGGGUAAAAUGGUCAAAAGGAUAUAAAUCUAACGGUCAAAAACUUAUGAGUAUAAAAGAAUUUAUACUCAUAAAAAUAUAUAUAGUAGCUGAACUCUCUCUCUCUCUCUCUCUCACUCUCUCUCUCUCUCUAUAUAUAUAUAAUUAUAUAUAAUAUAUAUUUUAAUUAUAUAAAAUAUUAUAUAUUAUGUAUUUUAAUUACAUGUGUAUAGAAUUUAGAUUAUUGGGCCCAUAAAACCAAACCAGUAAAAUUCUACUCUAAUUGUUCUCUUUCUCUCUUUUUCACUUACUCGCAGAGUCACUGUAACACACUGGACCUUUGCAAAUUGCGAGAUUCGAGUGUUCGAUAUGUAUUCCGAACUUUUCCACACUUAGUGGAGGGUCGUCGAUGGUGUACCGGCCUAAAAGUUCGAUCUCUAGAGUUUUGGCAAGUCCUGAGAGUUUUCACUCUCGGGGACCGGUCCCUGAUGGGAGAGACCGGUCCCCUCAGCACAGUGUUGCGGCAGGACUUGAGGCAACCGGUCCCUGGCUGGGAGAGACCGGUUCCCGAGCGCGUGUUUUGCGAGAAGGGUCUAAGAGACCGGUCCCUGGCGGGGAGAGACCGGUUCCCGAACGUUGGUUUUUCUGGUUCGACACGAGAGACCAGUCCCAUGCAGGGAGAGACCGGUCCCUCAGCGCGUGAGCAGCCCAGACCGGGCAGUGCACAGAGUGGAUUUUUGAGGGGCCUAAGUGGAUUUUGUUACCUUAGAGGCUAUAGGCAGCCUCUCUUCCCCCUCUCACUCUCAUUUUCUCACCUACACACUCUCCUUACACUUCUAGAGAGAGAAAGGGAAGGAGAAGAAGGAGAAUGAGAGGAGAGGAGCUUGCUUGGAGGCCUUGGAGCACCAUCUUCUUCCUCAUUUCUCACCUUUAGAGGCUUGGAGCUUGCUUUUGGAGCUUUGUGGUGGAUCAAUCUUCAACCCUAGAAGAUUUUGAGCUGAUUGGAGCAUCCUAAGAAUAGGUAAGUUGGCAGAGCUGACUUUCUCUAGAUCUUAGUUUUGGGGCUUUUAUGCUUGUUUAAACCUCUAAGAUUUUUGAUUUUAGCGUUACGAUUUGCGGAUUCUUGAUUUGAGGCUUCUCUUGAUCUUCAUUUGAAAGGGUUAGGAACACUUUAUAUAGGUUAGAUUGGUAGACCUGUACCUCGUCACAUUUGAAGAUUUAAGAGAGGUUUUUUUCACUGUUGAAGGUGAGUUUUUUUCCCACCUAGCUUUGAGAUGGUUAAUGAUCAACCUUGUGGUUGUAAUCGUUAUACUUGUGUUUUGACCCUUGUUCCUACAUCUGCUAGGGUGCUAGAGGCUAGUUGACUACUGUUCGUCGAGCUACGAAGGAUCGCAAUGUUUUGGUGGGUUUGACUUCCGUGAAAAUAGGAGCGAAAUGGCCCGCGAUGCUUUCUAAACUCUUCGUAAGUAUUUUUAAAUGCAAUUUUCUAUACAUUGAAAUUUAUGUGGAAUUUUAGAACACCUAGAAAUGCAUACCUUAUUUAAGUUAAAUUUUCACUCUAUAUAGUAGAGUAAUCCAGGGUUAUUUAUCAUGGCAUGUAGGAUUUCAUGUGAUCGAAUGAAGAUUCUCGUUGCGUAAUGCCUAAUUUAGCUCAUUAUUCGUGUAUUGGAAAUAUUAUACUUAUGUUUUGGCACUUAAGUAGCAUAAAGUGUCAUCUAAGAGGCAACUUGAAAAUUAGUAAACUAACUGAACUGCAACAAUAGAAACAUAAUAUGUAGACCAUUGUCAAUACUGCUAUAUAUUCCAUGUAGGAGCAUAUAAUGACUAGAAAUAGGCCUUUGACUACGAUACAUUCCAAUGUUAUUUACAGAGGACUUGGUACUUGUGAACUGGAGUAUGACUACUUGCCAUUAUGCUGUCAUUCGCACAUGCUGUGAGGUCGCUUCACCCUACAAGGCCUGGCGACUCCGGAGAUAUAGCCAUCGCGAUUCAUAUUCGCCGUGGUGGGAUAUGGCAGCCGAGUGGAUUGGCCAUGGGCCAGGCUCAUUCCUAGGUGGGAUGAUGACUACACGGGCCGCCAUUAGGCCGGCAUCCGCCAAACAGGCCUGACGCGGUGGGUCUAAGCCAUAGCAGCCUUCGGGUGGGAUCCUUCAGAUUUGACCUUUGAGUAUUCACUAUGAUAUGUGUAACUUUAAAAUUGUUAAAAGUGGACCUUGACUAUGAAUAGUAAACAUGACUCUUUACUAUUUUUGCAUUGAGGACAUCGGGUUGGUUUGCAUUUGUGCUAUAAUUACGCCAUGUCAUACCUAAUCCAUGCACAUCCAUAUUAGUUGCCUUGAUUACUUAUGCAAAAUUAAUGCUAAGUAGACUUCAUGUGUAGUAAAGUUUACACUUGUUAGACUUGCACUUCGCUUUACUCGUUUUUCAUUGUUGCUGACCACUUUCCUUGUAGCUUUGGGCCUUGUGGUGCAUUCACUGAAGUCAGUAAUUGCCCACUGGGAACUAUUUUUAAUAGUUCUCACGCCCUCUUUUCGUGGUUUCUUUCAGAGCCUUCUGCACCGGCGGAGGCACGGGAUCGCGGCAAGGGGAUCGCAUAGCUAGCUAGCGAGGAGCGGUUCUUUGCCUAGGUGGUUUACUCUUUCUUUUUAUAGUUGAGAGAGAGAGUGAGAGAUUUUGUAUCCCUGUAUAGAGACCACCUGUGUACCUACUUUUAGCACUUGUAUUUGGGAUUUCUUUUGUAUUACUUUAUGUUUCUUUAGUGAAUCUCAGUUUUAUCCUUAUUCCUUGGUUGUAGAAAUUAGACACUUAUCAUGCUCUGAUACUCUUAGUUGUCUUUUUACUGCUUUAUUUAUUGUUGUUUUUAGACGCCUUAUAUGUUUUAGACGUAUGGCGGGUCUGGGCACGCGCCGGGCGGGCUUUCGCUGGGUCCCGAGGCGUGACAGUCACUUUCCCUAAUUUUUUUAAUAUUAUAAUAUCGUAUUUCAUGCAUUCAUUUUGUAUGUUAAACUAGAUAUUUUUUAUAUCAAAUUUUAGAUAAUGUUUUAUAAAAAUUAAACUAUAGAUUGCACGAUGUUAAGAAUUUCAAGCAGCUCGUUUAGGGCUCGAGCUUGCUCGACUCGAAGUUAGGCUCGUUCGAGCUCGGCUCAAAUUAAUUUCAAGCCAAGCUUGAGCCUAAAUUUAAGCUCGAAAUUAAUUUCAAGUCAAGCUUGAGCUGAGAUAAGCUCGCUCGAGCUCGGCUCGUUUCCACCCCCUAUUUGAGAAUGAUGAAUGAUUCUGUAUUCUGUAUUUUACGCUCGGACCCUGGUUAGGGUUGUCACAUGUGAUUCCGUGCCACAAAUUUCUUUUAAAUUAUUAUUUUUUUUAAUUUGAUAAAUCAUCCCUCAUAGGUAAUACGGCUAUCAAUUAUGACCAGAUAACUUAAUUAUUCUAACGUUUGGAAGUCUCUAAUUGGAUCCAUGAAUAGUAUCUCUUUCAAGGUGACAUCUUUUGUUAAGGGUGAUUUGGUUUGGUGAUAUUUCUCUUACGGUAACUUUUGUUAUUUGUGGGAUAAAAUAUUGUUUCGAGAGUAGCACAAAUAAAAGUAAAAUUAGAUUUGAUUCAAGAUUCUCUUGUAUCUGAUUGUUAUUCUAGGAAUAAUUGGGAAUAGUGAAAACAGUAAUGGUAAAAUAACAAUUUUGAAAUUCUAUACAACAACAUCAAUAUAAUGAUAAAAGUGUUCUAAAAAAAUAUUAGUGAAUUACAACAAAAUAUUACACGGCCAAUUUGCAUAAAAAAUUCACAAGCUUUGAGCUUUUGCAAAACUGAGCCCUUUUUUUUUUUUUUUUUUUUUUUUUUUUUUUUUUCUAUUUUACAUAUUCGGAUUGGAUUUUUGCUAUCUGAGGAAAAUGCCCCUCGUCUCUCUCUGCCUCACUCGUAUUCGCUCAGAUACGUAUACCUCACUAUACGGCGCUUAGACGGGCAUUAAAUGCGCCCCGCGCUUGGUUACGUAACCUCCCAGUCAUCGAGACCAGAACCAAAUCGGCCCCGCUAUCGUCAGCUCCGUUGUUUGAUGUUCAUUUUUUCGAAAUUAAAUUAGGAAGAAUACGCGGUCGACAACCGGAAUAAUGGUACAACGCGAAGAGAAAUAGUGCAACAACACUUCUAAUAGUGCAGCUUGCAGCUCAUACCAGUGCAACCUUCGCAGCUCACAGUGCGACACUUUCAGUCAAUCUUCUCUCUUACCAUGGCAACAUUCCAUUCUCUAGUUAGUCAGUCUUCUUCCUAAACCAUAAGACGGUCUGUAAGGAAGUGGAUUCUCGAAAUACGAGAGUUGAACUUCGAUUAGAAUCGACUGACUGUCGAUUCGGUGUGCUUCGGUGAAGCCGAGGACAUCAAAAAUGCGAAAAGUGCAUUAUGGAUGGUCUCGAGAGCAAGCUGUGCAAGAAUCUGCACAAUUGCAGAUUUUGCUCUCGGGGAUCGGUCCCUGGCGGGAGAGACCGGUCCCCGUAGCAUGGUGUGCGGCAGAAAAUUCUCUGCGCACAAGUUUUGCUCUCGAGGACCGGUCCAUGGCGGGGGAGACCGGUCCCCGUACGCGUUGGAAAUGGGCAGAGCCCUCUGCCCGCAGGAGUUGCUCUCAAGGACCGGUCUCUCUCUAGGGAGACCGGUCCUCGCACACGAAAACUGCCCAGUCUGGGCAGUGUGAGAGGCAUGGAGCAGAGGAGUGUAAUUGCAAUUAUACAUUGAGGGGGUUAAGUAGGAGGGCAUAGAGGCCAUUUCCCCUCACCUCCCUCUCAUUUGUACUCUCUCUUUCUCUCUCUAAGUUCUCCUCUCUCUCUCUCUUAAAGUGAAGAAGGAGAAGAAGGGAAGGAAGAAAAAAGGAGAAGCAAGCUUGGAGGAGGGUUUUCAUCAUCUCCUUCUUCCUCUCCACACCAUUGAGCAAGCUUUAGAGGUAAGCUUCUAAGCUCAACAAUGGUGGAGAUCUAGGGUUUGAACUUCUAGCUCUAGAAAUGGUUUAGUUGGAUCUCUAGUAAGCUUAAUAGAUGUUUAGUAAGCUUAAUAGAUGUUUAAUGUUUAAAUCUAGAGAUUUAUUGGAGUAAUUUGCAAAGAUGCAAACCUAGGGCUCCAAUUUGGGGUUUUUGCUUAAUAGUUGAGCUUGAUCUCAAUUGAUGGUAUCUAAACCUAAUUGCUAGGUGUCUAAACGCAUGGGCGAAGAUGGAUUGAUGAUUCGUCGAGUCGGUACAGAGAUAUCGGCAAAAAGAGACCAUUCGAGCUUCGUUUCCCCCUAGGAGGCCGAGACGACGUCAUAGCAAGUGCCGAAUCACGUUCCUAAAGCCUUGACAUCGUCAAAAAGUGGUUGGUGUCAUCUCGAAGCAACCGGGCUCCUCUUUAUAUCUUAGUACAUUGUAACCUUGCAUCUCUUAUACAUGUGCAUUGUAGGAUUGCAUUGUUAUUCCAUUUCCUUAUGCUUGCUAGUUGAUAUCAAUGUAUGAGUUGAAUGCUUGAUAUAGUGGUUAGAUAAGGAUUGGGUCUUGACAUUGAAUCUUAAAGUGCUGAGAAAAAGAGAUAGACUCGAUGGUUACCUAGUGACAUGAUGAGUGGCAUAUGAAUGAUAAUUGAAACAGGACGAGUGGCAUCUAACUUAGUGUAAAGCGACACUAGUAAAUUGUGAACUUAGGGAUAGGUGGACUCCCUAGUGAUGGCUCGUUGAACAAGAACAUAGUGUAGUUAAACACUUGUAUAUGGACAUUAGGAUAGGUGGAUUCCCGAGUGAUUUCUAGCCCUAGCUGAUAAGGUAUCCUCGAGUUGAGAGGAUUGGAUCAUACUCACAGUCUGUUUAUACUUGUGGUGGUCGCGCCACACAAGUCGUCGUGCACUCUGGAGUUUGGCGCGAGAGGGACAGAGUUGAUGUCCUGCAGACGGUUAAAGAGAACCUAAGGGAUCGCCAAUGAUUGGGUAAACAAGAGAAUAGCACUGUUUAUUGGACAUUUGCUUAUUGGACAUUGCUUAGUGGACAUAGUAGCAUGUUAGUAGAUUACUUACUAUGUGAUGCAUGCAUACAUUACUCUUGAUUGGGCAAAGUAGUGUAGUUUUCCUACUAUGUCGUUUAUUGCUUUCAUUAUCUAUCUAUCUAUCUAUCUAUCUGCUCUUGCCCGCUUGGACCUAGUGGGGAGAUCGACGGAGUCGGUGGCUGAACCGACUGGGAACUAUGGACAAUAGUUCUCACCCCACUUUGUUGUAGGGCCUAGUUCGAGCACGCCAGGCAAGGAUCGCGGCAAGGGCAUAGCGCCCGAGCAGUAGUAGUGUAGUCGCUUUCCUAUUUUGCAUUAGCACCAUCCUAUGUUUAUGAGUGAUUUGUAGGAGAGCUAUCGAUGUAUUUUGGUGGAUGAUCUAGUGGACAAUGUAUUCAUUUUGGGAAAGAUGCAAAUGUAAAUUAACAUAAAUGAAUGCAAUGUGAUGUAAUAGCUAGUUAUAUCUCUCUUUGUUCACUUGUAUGUACUCGUGACUCUUGCUUUUAUCUGUUGGCACUUGUUGUGCCCCUUGUUGAUUGUGUAUGUAUAGAAUUUCUUUUUCUGGACAAAUUCUUGUACAUGAUCAGGUUGUUUAGCCUUAGGCGGGCAGGGGAGGUGCUGUCCGUUCGGCUACUGUACGACGUGCCCGAACCGGACCAAAUUGGUAGCGGUCUCAGGGCGUGACACGGUCCCCUCAUCGGCGUCCCAUGUUGCUUAUCUUAUUUGUAAACCCCUCGCCCUCCCCUAUGGAAGCUGGCAGUUUAUUCCAGUAUUCUCCGUCGCGCUCGACAUUUGCUGAAGAGAAGUGGAAGAAGCGUGGAGAAGGGAGGUGGCUUUAGGAUUAGGAAAUAGAGGAGGAGGACAAAUCAUUCGUUUGCAAAGAGGUACCACACGGCCAAGCAAGUAGUGCAACUUUUGUGGCAACGGUGCAAUCAUAUCUAAAAAAGUGCAAAUUGUUAUCUGUAUUUUGUGAUGUCCAGAAUGUAGUAUUCAAAAGAGGCUGUAAAUGGUGUAACAUUGCCCUAUUUAGUGCAAUGUUGUAAUAUACCGAAAAUUCGAAAAAUAAAUAUCGAACUUUAGUCAAAUUGACCAAAGUGCGAGGAUGGUACACUUCGGAAAGUCCGAAGGUGUUAAAAUGAUCAAAAGCGCAUUGUGGGAGGUUUUCGAGAGCUAAAGGAUAAAAAAUCUGCAUUCUACAGGUUUUGUGCUCUCGGGGAUCGGUCCCUGAAGGAGAGACCGGUCCCCGUACGCGUGAAGGUUGAGAAAAAGGAAAAAUCGGCUAAGUCCCUGAGAUCAGGCUCUCGGGAACCGGUCCCUACUGGAGAGACCGGUCCCCGAGAGACCGGUGCCCUAAAGAGAGAUCGGUCGCAUUGUGCGGGAGCCCUGGCUGCCGCAGGGAGGAGCUACGGGAACCGGUCCCUGGUCGGGGAGACCGGUCCCCACAUACGAAAUCUGCCCAGUUUGAGCAGUUUAAUAAGAUGAAAGCUGAGGGGUUUAAUUGCAUUUUUGCAACCCAUUGAGCUAAGUAUGAGGGCAAAUAAGAUAAUUCUCUCAUUUCUCACCCUCUCACACUCCUCUCUCUCUUUCUCUCUCUAAAAGACAAGAAGGAGAAGAAGAAGGCAAGGAAAAGAAAGAAAAAGAAGAAGAAAAAAGUGGAGAAGAAGAAGAAUGAGUAAAGAAACUCCCUCUCCCUCAUCUCUAGCUUGGAAAAGGAAAGCUUACAAGGUAAGCUUUGAACCCUAAUUGUGGUAGAAUCCAAACUAGGGUUUAGAUUAAGCUAAGAAUGGUUUUUAUAGAACCUAUUGAGUGUUUGGAGUUAUCUUUUGCUCCCUUUUGAGAUCAACACCAUGAAAUGGUGUGGAGGGUGAAGCUUGAAGGAGAGCUUCAAUCUCUCUCAUGGUAGAAUCCAAACUAGGGUUUGGAUUGAACUAAAGAUGGCACUACAACAGAAUUAGGUUAUAGGGACACAUGUUUAGGACACUUUUGAGUAAGUGUCCCAUUUAUACUAAAACUUAAAAAAACAUCUACUAAUGCCUAAAUAUAAAGCCCAAUCCAACCAAAAAUAAAAGAUUACUCUACUCAAUCUACCACACCAAGUCCAUUUGGCCCGAUUACAAACAAAAAAGAAAAGAAAAGAAAAAUCAAUUACUAUCUUUUCUUCUCUGUUCACUCAAUCCACUGAAAUUCUAGACGAAGAGCCUUUCCUGUCGUCCUCCUCUGCCACCGCAGCCAACGAGAUAGAGUUUCGGCGGUUGCUAAAUUCUUAAAUAAGUGUUGGUAAAUUAGCAGCACCCUUUUAGGUUAUAGCGGCACUCUUUAACUGUCACUAUAUACCUAGCGACCCCACAUAUAGCAACACUUUUUAAAAGUGUCGGUAAUUUUAGCUAGCAGCACUUUUUUGACAUGUACCUACAUUUAAAAGUGUCGCUAUAGACCGUUUUUGUUGUAGUGUGGUUUUUGUGGAGUCUCUAGAGUAGAUUGAAGCUUCUUUUGCUUCCCAAUAAGAUCAAACCCUAGGUUUGAUGUAUGUUAUAAGCUAGGGCACCCAAAUUAGGGCUUUUUCUUGCGAGGGUUUUAAAGUGCAAUUGACCCUUUAGAAACCUAAUUGGGGGUAUUUCCGACGCGUUGGUGCGCUCGGAUUAACGUUACGAAAAGCCGAUGUAAAGUUAUAGCCAAAUAAGCCUAAUUUGGCUUUGUUAACUCGCAGGUAGCGAACCGGGUGUCUAAAAAUCCCAAAAAAAUCGUCGGAGCACCUAAGUAAGCCUACAAGGUGGGUGGUGCUAUCCAAACUCGUUGAACUUCCUUCUAUGCCUAAUGUGUUAUUCAAUUGAGCAUAUGUUAUAUACAUUGUUGCAUGCAUCGUAGGGUAUAUGUAAUGAGAAUAAUGUAUUGUUGCAUGUUGUGAGUACAAUUUGCUUAAUGAGAUGGUUGAGAACCCCUAUGAAUGUUUAACCCUAUAUGUAUGCAUGAGGUAAAAUGUGAGCACCCAAGUGAGGCAAAAGAACAAAGUGACACAAUGAGCAUAGAUCGAGUGGCAUUCAAAAGUAUAUAGGCGACACUAGAGUUAGUGUGUGGCAUCAAAGAAUCAAUGUGAUGAAAAGAACAAAGAUAAUGGUUGAAAUUAAUGUAAAGUUUGGCAUAAAGAACGAGUAAAGUUAAAGAACAAUGAUUGCUAGAGUUAGCAAAAUAAAGUGAUAUAAAGAACACUAGAGUUAGUAUAAAGACAAUGAUUGAACUAUAUAUCCUUAGAGUUAAGGAUUGAUCAUACAUGCUAUGAGUUCCGUGCUUGAGGGCGGUCGCUCCCCCUCGGGCGAUGCGCUCCGGAGUUUUUGCAUCACAGGUUGGAGUAAACCCGAGGACGGUCUUAGCGGGAGGAAGCUGAGGGCCCGCGAUGAUGGACUUAAUGUGGGCAAGUUAAUGUGGCGAAACCCCCGGGUUAGCCGUGAGAUUAAAGAACAAAGAACAAGGCUUAAAGAACAAAGAGUAAAGAACAAGAACUUGCAUACUUGCAUUAUUUAUAUUGAGCAUAUUUCUUGCUAUUUGUUCAGGCAUAUUAGCAUCAUGAUUAUAGUUUGGCUACUAUUCUGCUUAUUCUUUCUAUUAUGCCUGAGUUAGUCCUUGUGGGAAAGUCGGUGAUGUUCGGGCCGAACCCACUGGGAACUUUGUUGUAGUUCUCACCCCACUAUUCCACAGAGCCGGGACCGAGCGAGCCAACAAGCGACCGCGGUAAAGGCAUCGCACCCUAGACAGUGGCCACCCGAGUCGGGCUUUACAUUUUGUUAGUAGUUUACCCUUUUAUCAUCUUUUGUAUUUGAUGAUUUAAGAUGAUAAUGUAUAAAGCAAAGAGAGAAAAGAAUGUAAUGUUUAUUUUGAGCAAAUGUGAUGCAAAAAGAAAUGAUGAAAAGAAUGUAAAGACUUUAUGAUGUACAAGUUGGUUAAAUGCAAUGUAUGUGAUCAAAAGAGAAUCAUAUUACUUGUGUAGAUGAUUAGUUCCUUUCUCUCACUCAUUGCUAUUGCUUACCCUCGUGUAAGUCGUUUGUGUAUGUUCCGCUAGUGCACUUCUUGCUUAAAAUUGUACAUGUGAUGAGCCUUGGGCGGACAGGAAAAACUCUGUCCGUUCGGCGUUUGUUUGACGUGCUCGGGCCGACCCAAAUUGGUAUCGGUCCUGGGGCGUGACAAAUGUAUUAACGAAAAUAGUGCAACGAGUCUAUAACCAGUGCAAAUGCACUCCUCCCUUAGUGUUUUUCAGCUCGGCGUAUAUUCUCAUUAGCUUCGCCAAGUGUUGCUUAGAUAGAACCAGUGCAAAUUUUUCUCUAUAUUUUAUGCUAACAUGAAAGUAAUAGUGCAAACAAGACUGUAAAUGGUGUAACGAUGACAAAAAUAGUGCAACAUUAUUUGCUAAAUAGUGUAACUAGCCUCUAACCAGUGCAACACUGCUCUUUGUUCAGUGUUUUUCUGUUCGGCGUAUGUUCUGAUCAUCUUUGCCAAGUGUUGCUUGGGUACAACAAGUACAAGUUCGCAAAGGGUAGAAAAAGUAAAAGCAAAAAGAAUAAGAAGAAUAUUAAGAAUUGAAAUAGAAAAUGCACUCUCUAUUAAUCUGGGAACAAGAAUUACAUUUUCUUUGAUAAAAAUUACACUAUUUUAUAUUACGUUGCAACAUGUAAGACAUGAUUUGCAUACAAGAUAAUGUUUUCUCAAAAUAAUUUAAGAAAGAAACGAAAUCAUCUGAGCUUUUUUGCAAUUCCAAGUGCAGGGGGAUGCUAUUGUUGGUCAAGGAGGUGAAGGCGAUGAAGGGCAUUCCCCGUAAACGCAAUUGUUGUGACGGCGGGGGACGAGGGUCGUCGUCUUCCUCAUCUGCAGUCACUGUGGCGGCGGCAGUGGCGGUGUCGGAAGAAGCUCUUCCUCGUCGCAUUCGUUUCGGCGACAGCGUCGGUGGUUGCGGGAAUGAAAAUUAAAGUCGUUGUGGUUGGUGGGGGUGGCAGUGCCGACGGCGGCCGCCACGAAAGGGGAGUGAGGUGAAGAAUGGGUUGAGGAGGAGAAUGCUGUUGGCAAAGACCAAGCAGAUCUGUGUUUAGAUAAAUUCCCACUACCUGAAGUGCUUCAGUUGCUGCGAUCCCUUUAAAUCUCCGCUCGACUAUGUUUGGAAACCGGCUCAACGAUCAAUAAAAAAUAGAAAUGAGCAAAAACACUAAAAAUCUGAAAAAAUGUUCUGACCUUUAAGAGAAAGCGCCAAUGGGCUCGCAGCAACUGAAGCACUUCAAAUAGUAGGAGUCGAUCUUAAUGCCGAUUUGCUAGAUCGUACCUCUCACAACAGUCGCCUUCUCCUCGACGACUGACUCGCCUCUCGCGCGCCUUCCGCCACCGCCACCAUGGGCACUACCCUUGUCGGUAGCUGUGACGGCUUUACUUUUCGCCUUCGAAACAACUAUCUACACCGCCGAAACGAAUAUGACGAUGAAGAGGUUCGCCCGCCGGUCUCGCCGCCGCCGCAGCCACCACAGACACGGAAGACGCGACCCUCAUCCCCCACAGUCAAACCAGCUGUGUUUAUAGGGAACGCCCUUCGUCGCCGUCACCUUCUUGACGAAGGGUAGUGUCACCUUUACUUUCUUUUAUACUAGAAGAACCCUAAAGCCCUAGUGGAAAUAUUGUAUCAAAUAGUAUGACAUAGGACUUACACGAUUGAAUUUCGCAAUUACAUAGAAGAUUAAUUUUAAACAUGCUAUAAAUGGUGCAACAUCCCUUAAAAGGGAUUACCUUAUUGCAUUAAAAGUACAACAAUAAUCACAAUACUGCAAACUUUGUGUCUGCAGGAACGAAAAUAGUGCAAUAGUGACAUUGAAAAGUGCAAAAUUUUUGUGCUGUAAUGCAACAGAGAAUGAAGUUGAAGAACCAGUGGGUAAUAUGAGAAAAUAUGUUUGUUAUCCUUGGGUUCUAUAGGCGCUGCUUUUCUCUGAAAAUGCCCCUCGUCUCUCUCCACCUCAUUUGUAUUCGCUCAGAUACGUAUACCUCACUGUACGGUGCCUGGGUGGGCAUUAAGUGCGCCCCGUGAGUGAUUAUGCAACCUCCCAAUUAUCGGAAUGUGAACCAAAUCGGCCCCGCUAUUCGCCAGCCCCGAUGUUUGUUGUUCGGUUUUUCGAAAUUAAAUAUUUUGAAGCUAAAUUUGGAAGAAUAUGCGGCCGACAACAGGAAUAAUGGUGCAACACGAAGAGAAAUGGUGUAACAACCCUUCUAAUAGUGCAGACUUUAAAUAGUGAAAAAAAUUUCUAUAAAAAUUUCAUCAGAUUUGGAUUGUUUUACACCGUUAAAUUCACAAACGCAUCACAUUGACCAUUAAAAUUGUCAAUUUUGAGACCUUUUGAUCAGUAGCCAAAUGAUGUCGAAACGUUAUAAAAUUAGGUUUCAAAUACUUUUAAUAGUGUAGAUUAAGUCUAACGGAGCAGAUCGUCGAUUUGGAAGUCACAUAAUUGAAAACAACUUCGUAGCACGGAGGCCUCCAUGCUACCGAUAGUAUACCAGCCUCUCUCUCUCUCUCUCUCUCUAUAUAUAUAUAUAUAUAUAUAUAUAACUAGACUGGAAUGCUAUCAAUAGCACCAAGUUGUUGGUGCUAUUAGGUUUUUGGCCUUUGAAUGAAGAAAUAUACAGUUAGGAUGAUGUGGGCCCCUCAGAGUUGAGUAAGUUGUUAGUUGAAUAGUAUAAUCUAACGGGUGAGAAAAAUCAGAGGGCUAAAUCUAACAGCGGAAAACUUGGAAGCACAAAGUGCUUAGUGUUAUCGAUAGUAUCCCAGCCGGACUGUCUCUCUUUCUCUUUCUCUAUACACACACACACACACACAAUUAUAUAUGUAUCAAAAAGAAUUUAAAUUCAAAUUCAAAUUUGAAUUUCCCCUAAAUAAAGUCUCAGAUAUUACACAGAGGCACCGCAGAUCAAAGGACAAGUCACACCACUGCAAUAUUGAGUAAGUCAGUGACGAGUGAGUAGACAUCUAAGUGACUUCUCGCGUUGGUCACGCUCGGUGCCCUUAUUCUCUAACAACCACCUGCACAUUCGCUCCAGUGUCCCCACAAUAUUAACUCGAGACUCGUCUACCCAAAACGGGAAGUAACCUAUGUACCAAUCUCAUCGGAUCAAUCACCAUCCUUGUGAUAAUUCAUCAAUCGAGAGCAUUAAAAAAUUAACCAUCAACUCUUAAAAAUAUGUGUUAUCAUCUUAUUAAUUUCUUAGAUGAUUUAUGGACACAUACACAUCAUGAAUGAAAAUAAUAAUCCAAAUUUAUUUAUAAUAUUUAAAAUCAAAUACAAAUUUAUGUCCUAAAAAUUGUGUCGUCCUCGUUGGCUUCUAGGGUAUACAUUUAACAAUCCCAUACGGAUCCCCCCACACCCAUCGCUUCUUUCGCUUCACCAACUCCAAAUCCAUCGCCGCUUCCUCUACUGUGCCAUGUCACGACCCUCGGAACCCUCAUUUCAAUCCCUACACAAUUUAAAAAAAUAAAAAAUUACAAAAUUACAAAAUAUCACCCCUUCUUGUUCACCAAAAUAAAAGAAAAAAAAAGUGAGGAAAAAGAGUAUAAAAAAAAAAUCUUAUUUUACUUAUUUUUUCUUAUAAAAGUGAUUUGUUUAGAUGAUAAUGAACCAUGUGAACACAUUAAUUAGAGGUGGGCAGGUGGAAAGACAAAACGUCGAAUGGAAAUGGGAGGUGGGAAGAAGAAGUAUUAGGGAGUGGGAAGGAGGGAGAAAGCAAGGGUGAAGAAGGAACUACCAAUUGGCAAACUCUAUGAGAUAUAGUGUAUAGGUAUAGAUAUUAUACCCUUUGCACAUGAUAUACUGCACUAUUUGUAAAUAGUUUAUAAAUAAAUAAAGGAAAACUUCAAAUACCACCCCUGUGGUUUUACAGUUUCUUACUUUAGUACCCUGUGGUUUAAAGUGUAUCAAUUUAGUGUUCUGUGGUUUCAUUUUUAUCUUUCUAUUAUGGAUUUCGCUAAAUUUUUUCUUUAAAUCAGUGACAAAGUUAAAAUUAAAGGGUACUAAAGUGAAUAUUCGAUAAACCUAAGUGGGUUAUCUGAAAUUUUUUUUGCAUAUAAUUUAACGAAAUAUUAAUGGAAAAGCUGACAAAUAGAUGAAAAUGAAACCACAGGAUACUAACUUGAUACACUUAAACCACAUGGUACUAAAGCGAGAAAGUGCAAAACCACAGGGGUGGUAUUUGAAGUUUACCCAUAAAUAAAUUAUGUAAUAUUUGUAUAAAUGGUACAAAUAUUGUACAAUUCUAGACAAAUAUAGCACUAUUUGCAUAAAUGUUGUACAAUUUAGAUGGAUAUUGCCUUUUUUUUCUUAACAAUUAUAUUUAUUUUUUUUAUUUUUGUAUUAAAUGAGAAUUCUCAUCGUCCGAGAAAAAUUAUGUAUAAUUAUGACUUGUGUGUUGUAUUUUUUAAAAAUUUUGACAUUUUAUUUCAAGGGUUAAUUUCAUACAGGUCACUGCAAACAUAAUGAAUGAUAAAUAUAUCCCUACAAAAUUUAACUUUCAUAUAUUGUCCCUACAAAAGUCCUGAUGCUUUCAAAUAUGUUCCUGCCAUUAGAAUCCGUUAUAAAAAUUUAGUUAACCAUAGAUUAAAUACUUAACCCUAGUUAAUUUUUGAUAUUUUUAUCCCUCUUAUAUUACACUGUUAUGCCUUUUAGAGGGACAUAUUUGUGAUAGCAAAAUUAAAAAAAUAAACAGUUCUCUAAAUGGUUCUCUAACGGUGACAAAUCAAAAAGACAUAUUUGAAAAUAUUAGGACUUUUGUAGGGACAAUAUUUAAACUUUUAGGGAUAUAUUUGUCAUUCACUAUGUUUGCAAGGACUUGUAUGAAAUUAACCCUUAUUUUAAUGUGUAAUGCAAUAUAAUGUAUAAAAAGGAGUGCAAUAUAUUCAGCUAAAUACCGACCGUCCCUAGCACAAGUAGUAAAGGGCUUGAUGGUUGGUACCCGAGGUCCCAAGUUUGAAUCCUAGUUGAUUCACAUUUUCAGCUAAGUUUAUUUCUAAAUAAAAUAAACAAAGCGAGUAGCAUGCUACCUAUCUCUCAAAAAAAAUUAUAUUCAGCUAAAUAGUGCAAUGUUUUAUUGUAAAUAGUAUAACAUCUAUUACUAUAUACUAAAGAGAAGGGGGGGUGAGAGGUUUGUUUGAGGACGCAUGUCCAUUUGGUAUAUCCCAUGCAUCUGGCGUAUUGUGGAUUAAGUAAAAAAAACUAUAAUUUUACUUCAAUAGAUGUAUUUAUUUAUAUGAGUUUAUAAUUUUUAAUAUAUAAAUAUUUUGAAUGUUAUAAAACAUAAUCAAUAAAUUAAGUCUUAAUUUUUGAAUUGUUUAAAAUUGAUUUUCAGGAGUAUCAUGCAUAAUAUUAUAAACCGCAUUCAAUACACCAUGAAUUGGCAAUAGAGUUAUUGGGUGCAUCUUGUCCAGUGCAGAUCAUGAAUUUGUUCUAUUGCGAUUGGGUCUACUAAUUAAGAAGAUAAUAUCUUAAUAUGAUACAGUGUCUUCCUUAUAUAUUUUCUCUCCUUCAGAGUGUGUAUUCUCUCUUACUUAAUUUUUAUUUAAUUUAAUGUUUAUACCUUUUCUCUUCUCUUUUCCUCUCUCACCAAGAAAUGUGCAUGCCGCUUUCCUCUCUCCGUUAGUUUAGUUUCUAAUUUAAUGCUCUCUUUUCUCUCUUUCUCCAAACAAAAGAUUUGAAUAUUUAAAAUAAUUUUAAACUUUAAUUUAGUAAUUAUACAUUUUUAAAAUUCUUUAAUUUUUAUUUUUCUAAAUUAUGAAUAAAAUAUACUAUAAUUAAAAAUUUGAAAGUGCUCUCUCUCUGACUUUAACUUUUAUUUAAUGUUCUAUUCUCUCUCUAUAAAUAAGAAAUAUAUAUAAAUUAGCACUUUUAUUUGACUCUAUUAAGUAAUUUUACAUAAGGUAUAAUAUAAUAUAAUAAUUGUGAACUUAAAAAUCACACCCCUUGCAAAGAUAGGUACAUUGCUAGUUUAUAUAGAUAGUGCAGUACGUGCCGAAUUUAUAUAAAUAAUAUUGUAUCACCUGUGCUAUAUGUUAUAACAUAUUUUACUAUUUGUACAUGAUAUGUUACACUAUUUUAUAUAUAAUAUAUAAAUUAUGCAAUAUUUGUAUAAAUAAUGCAAUUAUUAUACCAUUUUUAGACAAAUAUUGUACUAUUUGUACAAAUAUCGUACUAUUUGAGAGAAAAUAUUGCAUAUAUAAUUUGGAAAAAUAUUGCACUCUUUCUUCUUACUAAUUAUAUUUGAUUUUUGGCCAAUUUGCAUAAAAAUUCUACAAGUUUUGAACUUUUGCAAAUCUGGGUCACCUUUUUCAAGUUUGCGGAUUCAGUCCGAAUUUUUAGGACAUUGACCAAAAUACCCUUUUUCUCUUUUCUCUCUCUUUUUUUUUUACGCUCUUUUUUUUUUCUCUCCGACUCUUCGCCUCCGCCCCUGCCAGUACGAUGGUGCCACUGUUGUAAUUCGCACCCGUUGCUUUCCGGCGAGGACGACGUCGACGCCAUCGCCCGAAGCAAACCACAACCUCCACCAGCCGACCGGCAGCCCCCUCCUCGCCGCCGUCACCUCCACCUCCACCUCCUCCUCGAGCGCCGCCGCCGCCGCCGCCUCGAGCGCCGCCGCUGGCACCGUCGGAUAGAGUGGUGGUCGGAGGCGGCGAGGACGAGAGACGCGGGCCAUGAGGGGGACGAGGGGAGCUUCUCCAAAAUGGUGUAAAUAGUGUAAAAUGGUGCAAAUGGUAAAUUGUGUAAAAUGGUAUAAAUAGUGUAAAUUGUGUAAAACUGUGUAAAAUGAUGUAAAUUUCAUUUACACCAUUUUGGAAAAGUUCCCCGCGUUCCCUAGCCUCUGUUAAAGAUAAUGCUAAUGAGAUUAGGAUUAGAUUAUUUGAUCUCAUCUAUUAUUAUAUGGUUAAGAUAUAUUCGGUUAUUAUUUAAAUUGUGAUUAAGAUGAAAUCAAAUUAGAGUAGGAUUCUAUGUAAUUAGUUAUAAAUAGGUAGGCCGGAUUAUUUUGAUUAAUGAAGCCGGUAUUAAUAAAGUUGAAGCCGGUAAAGUUGAAUCGGAGCCGGGCACUAAUUAAUUUUGCAAGUUGUACGGUGCAUCAUCCGGGUGACUUUUCUUCAUUAUUAUUAGUUUCCUUUGCUUCCACAACAACGUACCAGAUUCUUUGAUUUGUCUUCCUCCUCUCUCGUCUUUUCUAUUUUAUUUUUUGUGGAGAUCUCUAUAUACCAUAACAAGUAUAUAGAACGUAUUUGUUGGUGGCCCACCGCCGUAACAAGUGGUAUCAGAGCCUGGAUUUUGAGCAGAGAAGGUGUCGAUGGCGUUUAACAGCGCUAACGGAGUUGCACAAGGAUUCCCGAUAUUCAAGGGGGACAAUUAUGAUUUUUGGUGCGUGAAGAUGCGGACGUUGCUGCGAUCCCAAGAUUUAUGGAAUUUUGUCGAAAAAGGAUGCAAGGAAACAACCGGAGAGAAUCUGAAAAAAGAUACAAAUGCGCUUUUCUUUAUUCAGCAAUCAGUUGACGAUUCUAUAUUUUCCCACAUUGCCGGUGCUACUAAAUCGAAGGAAGCAUGGGAUAUAUUACAGAAGGAAUACCAAGGUAACGAAAAGGUACUCAGAGUUAAGAUUCAAACUUUAAAAAGAAGAUUUGAAGCUUCUUUUAUGCAAGAAAAUGGAAAUAUUCAUACAUUUUAUUCUAAAGUUAUGGAAUUAGUUAUCUUGAUGCGUACAUAUGGUGAACAGAUUACUGAUCAAACGGUAGUCGAAAAAAUUUUAAGAAGUCUAACGAAAAUAUAUGGCGAUGUUGUUUCUGCUAUAGAAGAGGCAAAAGAUUUAUCUAAAUUAUCUUGUAGCGAACUUCUUGGUUCCCUUUUAGCACAUGAAGAACGAAAAGAUAGAACUGAAAAUUUUUCUGAGCAUGCUUUUCAAAGCGAAUCGAAAAGCGAUGAAAAAGGUGGUACAGAUACUUUAAAUCGUCAAGCUUCAGCAUUUGGAGGUCGUGGUAGAGGCCGUGGCCGUGGCCGUGGUAGAGGCCGUGGCGGUAGAUCAGGUGGUUUCAACAACAGAAAUAAUGAAGGAUCAGGUAAUCAAAAUCAGAGAACCUACGGAGGUAACGAUCAAUCCCACAAUUGUAAAAAUAUUCAAUGUUAUUAUUGUAAAAAAUUUGGCCAUAUCGAGCGCUUUUGUCGAUUGAAACAACAGAAUGCGAAUUUUGCUUAUGAAAAGAAUGAAAACGAUAAUGUACUUUUUGCAUGUCGUUCAUUAGAAAAAACUGCUAAUAAUAUUUGGUAUGUCGAUAGUGGUUGUAGCAGUCACAUGACAGGAAAAGAAGAAAACUUUAUUAAUUUGGAUAAAUCAGUUAAAGGCCGCGUGACAUUGGGUGACGGCUAUGUCCAUGACGUGCACGGAAGAGGUACAAUUGCGGUAAAUAUUUUUGGAAUGCAAAAGUCUUAUAUGUUCCAGGAUUGAAUUCCAAUCUUUUUAGUGUGGGUCAAUUUUUGAAAGAAGGUCGUUCGCUUAUUUUUUGAAGAUUCUAAGUGCACAAUUUAUGGAGAUAAAGAUAAAAAGAAUUUGCUUUUUGAAGUUCCGAUGACAGAAAAUAAAGUUUUUCCUGUUCAUGUUGCAAUGAAAGUAAUGCUAGAUAAUGAUUGGUUAUGGCACUAUCGAUAUGGUCACUUGAGUUUUAAGGGACUUGAUCUAUUACAUAAAAAGAAUAUGGUUGAUGGUUUACCUUUGGUGCAUAAUAAUGGUUCUGUAUGUGAAAGUUGUGUGCUAGGAAAGCAUCACAGGGACUCUUUUCCGAGAAAGAGCAAUUGGAGAGCCAAAGAACCAUUAGAAUUGAUACAUGCAGAUGUAUGCGGACCGAUGCAAACACAGUCGCUCAGCAACAAUUACUACUUUGUAGUUUUCGUGGAUGAUUAUAGUCGGAUGACUUGGGUUUAUUUUAUCAAAAAUAAAUCCGAGGCUUUUGAUGUUUUUCAGAAAUUUAAAAAUUUGGUUGAGAAUAAAUCCGGUUAUUAUAUUAGGACCCUCCGUACAGAUCGAGGGGAAGAAUUUAUUUCUAACAAGUUUGAAAAUUUUUGUAAGGCUAAUGGUAUCCACAGGCAGUUGACAACCACAGUUACACGCCUCAGCAGAACGGUGUUGCAGAGCGCAAAAAUCGAAGUUUAGUCGAGAUGGCAAAAAAUAUGUUGAAAGCGAAAAAUCUCCCGAACAAUUUUUGGGCAGAAGCGGUAUCUACUGCAGCAUACAUUCUCAAUAGAAGUCCAACUUUAGCGCUGGAGAAUAUUACACCUUAUGAAGCAUGGACCGGCUGGAAACCGAAGGUAAAACACUUUAAAAUUUUUGGAUCGAUUUCUUUUAUUCAUAUUCCAUCACAAAAUAGACAAAAAUUGGAUGAUAAUAGUCAGAAGUGUAUUUUUGUUGGAUAUAGCGAAAGAAGUAAAGCCUAUCGAUUUUAUAAUCCUGCUACUAUCUCUUUAAUUAUAAGUCGUGAUGCUAUAUUUGAUGAACAAAAAGCUUGGGAUUGGAGCAAAAAAGUGCACGAUAAUCCACUUUCGAUAUUAGAAAAUGAAACUGCAACUGAAAUAGAAACAAUGAUAAAAGUACGAAAAGCACAGAAACAACACCACAAGCUUCACCGGGAAUUUCACCAGAAACUUCUCCAGAGACGACGCCAAGAAAAGUAAAGUCAUUUACUGAAAUAUACGAGCAGUGCAUGUACUCACAAUUUGGUGAACCACAAACCUUUGAGGAGGCGGCAAAAUCUGACGAUUGGUGUAAGGCCAUGGAUGAAGAAAUUGCGGCGCUAGAGAAAAAUAAUACCUGGGAGUGUUAAGGAUUUUAUAGGUUGGCGAAUUUCGUAAAGUUGUUUGGAGUCUUGAAGAGUUGAUCGCAGAAGUUUUUGAGAAGAGAUUCAAAUUGAAGGACGAAGACUCAUUCGGAAAUAUCGACACCUAAGGUAUGAAGAAAAGAUCAUUUGUGGUGAAGAUACAUAAUUAGAAUAAGUUCAGAAGGCUUAGAUUGUUUUUAAACAACUUUUCUGAACUUUCUUGUGUUCUGGGACCGGUCUCUGAGAUGGAGAGACCGGUUCCCCCAAGGUCCUCACUGAGUAAACCAUGAUGCAACCGGUCCCCUGUGAUGAGAGACCGGUUCCCGAACCUUGGUGAUUCUGUCGCGCAGCGAGGGACAGGUCUCAAGUUUGAGAGACCGGUUCCCGAACGUUGGGUUUUUGGUCACGCAGGGAGGGACCGGUUCCUCACUUGAGAGACCGGUCUCUCACAGACCGGUCUUCUCGAGAGGACCGGUCUCUGAGGACGACACAGGUUUUUGAAAACGACUUUUUGCAAUCCUAGUCUACUUCUAAGUCUUCUAAACAUAUAAAUAAGCUAUGUGGGUCAUCUAAAAUUAAGGCUUUGAAUAUUUUACCAAUUCUAAACCCUAGAAACUUGUUUCUCCCCGUUUCAAUGCUUAGAUUUACAUGAUGAGUUUCUAGUAAUCAACAUCGGCUUGAUUCUUCGUUUUUACUCGAUACUUCUUACGAGAAUCAAGUAGAUGAUUGAUUAAAGGUGAACCCUCAUAGCUUAUGGUUUUCAAAAGUUAAAUCACCACAAAUCUUCAAUUCUAAAAGCUCCGGAAGGAGGAGGAUUCGGUGGAUGCUUCGAGGAGUUGAGGCGUUGACGCUGCGAGGAGUUGCAGCAAGGUCGAUUGGUGGAUUCCUAUCGAUCGAGGACCGGCAAAGAUCACCGUCAACGAGAAAUCGGUAAAUUGAGUCGUGUGUUUUUGACGAAAUCACUUGUACUCAAGUUUUCUUAGUGGAUUUUCUUUGCGUGAUCGGUCCCGUGGGUUUUUCACUCCGAAUUGGAGUUUUCCCACGUUAAAUUCUCGGUGUGCUGUUUUAAUUUCCGCUAUUUUGUCUUAUUUGCAUCGAGAUUUUUUGAGUUUGCCGGAUUUACACCUAUUCACCCCCCUCUAGGUGUUACUUACCUUUAGAUCCUCGGGAUCCAUAUCUUACAAGUGGUAUCAGAGCGGGUAUAGGUUGUAACUCAUGGUUGAGGGCGGUAACAUCAAUCGACCCCCGCUCUUCGAUGGAACUAACUAUGCUUAUUGGACAGUCCGUAUGAGGGCGUUUCUUAUUGCUAUCGACGAGCGGGUUUGGCAAGCCAUUGAAUUCGGAUGGAAAAAUCCUACCGAAGUUGUCGAGAAUGUUACCGUGCCAAAACCUAGGAAUAAAUGGACGAAAGAGAAAAAUGAACUAUCUUCGUUCAACGGGAAAGGUAUCAAUGCUUUAUUCAAUGCUUUAAACCAAACUGAAUUUUCUCGCGUCUCGGCAUGCGAAACCGCCAAAGAGAUUUGGGACACUUUGCGAGUUACACAUGAGGGUACAAGUUUGGUUAAGAUUCAAAAAUUGCAAAUGCUUACUAGCAGAUUUGAUUCCAUUCGUAUGGAAGAACAUGAAUCUUUUACCGAGUACUAUACUCGUUUGCAAGACAUUGUAAACACGUGUACUAACUUGGGCGAGAAAAUUCCCGAUUCCAAAAUUGUUCGAAAAAUUUUGAGAACCCUUCCCGAACGAUUCCGUCCUAAGGUUGCGGCUAUUGAAACGGUCAAACAUCCUGAUGAACUCAAAGUAGAAGAAUUAAUAGGUGCUCUUCAAACUUAUGAAAUGACUUUUCCAUCUAAUUCAUCUUCUUCCAAGUCUUUCUCUAAAGCCUCAGGGAUGGCUCUAAAAUCAACAAAAGGAGAUGUUUCUUCAACCUCAUCAGAUUCAGAGUCGGAGCAAAGCUUGGAGGACUUUGAAAAACAACUUGCACUUUUAACAAAGAAGUUUCGUCGGAACUUUAGAAAGAAGUUUCCUCCCAAGUCUACUUCAUCAAAGUCAAACAGAUCUAAAGGGGGUCCGUCUUCUUCUUCCUCGUCAAAAUACAAAAAAUCGGAUAACUCUCAAAAGGACUCCACAAAAGAGAGGAAAAGCGGUGAAGGUCAAAUUCAAUGCUACAAGUGUAGGGGCUUUGGCCAUAUAGCAUCUGACUGUCCCAAUAAAAAGUCGUUGAAGAAUAAAGCUAUGCAAGCUAUGACUUGGGACGACUCCUCAUCUGACGAUUCUACUUCGAGUGAAGAGGAUGUGAAUGCCACAGCACUGUUUGCACAGUAUUCAACCUUCAUGUGUCUAGCAUCUGCUGACUCGAUUUCUACGAUAUCUAUACAAAAGAAGUCAUCUUCGGAGAACUCAUCGGAUGAAGAAUCGGACGAAGAUGACAUGGUCGCAGCAUAUCAACAAUUAGUUGUUGAAUCAAAGAAGAUGGCUAAACAUAACAAGAAACUGCGGCGUAGUCUACAUGAGUUGGAACAAGAAAAUUCAAAGUUGGCCUCUCUAACAAAGGAUUUAGAACAAGAGAGAGAUGGGUUGACCAAGGCUUACAAUUCUUUGCUUGAGAAGUGUUCGUUACUUGAAAAAGAAAAGGAGACACAGGCAGAGAACAUCAAUUAUCUUACCAAGCAAAACUCUGAAGCUAGAGAAGCAAAUAUGGAAUUCACCAAGACGAUCAUUCAACUGAAGUCGGAUUUGAACCAAUUUUCAUCUGGCUCGAGCAAACUAGAUAAGAUGCUUGGACUUGGUCAGACAAAUAAACUUGGACUUGGUUAUGAACGGACAUAUAUUGAUCAAGUUAUGAAGAAGGAUGAUGGAAACUCGUCAACUGCUGUACCUAAACUUUAUGGUAAGUUUGUCUCUCCUAAAAACAAUUUGGCUAACAAAACUUGUCAUAUUUGUGGUGUUUUAGGACACAUAAAGAAAUUCUGCUACCAAAAGGGAAAAAGCUCAGUAGCUCUCUUGAAGAGUGACCCUAAAACGACAAUGAAGUCAAUUGUGACUCCAAAGAAGAUAGAACAAAAGAAGAGCCAAAUUCGGACUCCAAAUACUCCGAAGCCAAAGGCAAAACAAGCAUGGAAACCAAAGAAGGAGGAUAUGAAGAGGAAGUCAAUUCAAAUCGUCAACAAGCCACGAUCAACAAAAGCAAGCGAACUGACACAACCCAAAACACGUAAGGUUUGGGUGCGCAAAGGUGAACUCUUCCCAUGUCUAGUCAUUCACACCUCACUUCAUGCUUACGAUAACUCAUCUUGGUAUCUGGAUAGUGGUUGUUCCCAUCACAUGACCGGAGAUAAAAAUUGGUUUACUUCUUUGACCAAAAUCUCCGGAGGACUUGUUGUUUUUGGGGACGGUCGAUCGUCAAAAAUUGUUGGAAAAGGAACAGUGACUAUCUCAGAUGGCCCUACAUUGAAUGAUGUUUUUUAUGUUGAAGGGCUUAAAUCUAAUCUCGUAAGCAUAAGCCAACUGUGUGAUGAUGGGUAUUCUGUGAACUUUUCUGAUAAAGAAUGCCAUGUGACUCGUGAUGACAAUCUAUUCUUAAAGGGCAUUAGAUCUCAGAAUAAUUGUUAUGUUGUUCCUAGUUCGGCCACUGAACAUUGUAACCUAGCAUCAUUAGAAACUGAAACCUUAUGGCAUGAACGACUAGGUCACAUCAAUUUUAAGGAGCUAUCUAAGAUAACCAAGAAGGAGGUAGUUAGAGGUGUACCUAAGAUUGACUAUAAAGAGAACACUGUGUGUGGGGGUUGCCAAUUAGGGAAACAAACUAGAUCCACACAUAAGAACUUGAACCACUUAGGGACAACUAAACCUCUAGAGUUACUUCACAUGGACUUGAUGGGACCAUCUAGGAUUCAAAGUUUGGGUGGAAAACGUUAUAUUUUGCUUAUUGUUGAUGAUUUUACUCGCUAUGUAUGGAGUGCUUUCUUACGAGAAAAAGCUGAUACUUUUAAUUCUUUUUCUGAAAUCUGUCUCCGUCUUAUGACUGAACGAAAUGAUAAAAUUGUACGCAUUCGAAGCGAUCAAGGGGGAGAAUUCAUAAAUUCUAAAUUUGUUGAUUUCUGUGUUUCAAACGGUAUAAAACAUGAAUUCUCGGCCCCCUAUACACCCCAACAAAACGGAGUGGUUGAACGUAAGAAUCGGGUUGUACAGGAGAUGGCUCGUGUUAUGCUUCAUAGUAAGAAAAUUGCUUUACAUUUUUGGGCCGAAGCAGUUAACACAGCUGUCUAUGUUAUCAAUCGGAUUUAUGUACGUCCGGGCACUUUGAAUACGCCUUAUGAACUUUGGCUUGGUAGAAAACCUAAUAUUAAAUACUUUCGUGUCUUCGGGAGUAAAUGUUUUAUCCUUCGGGAUCGUGAAAAUCUUGGAAAAUUUGACUCUCGCAGUGAUGAAGGCAUAUUUCUUGGUUAUUCUACUACAAGUCGUGCUUAUCAUGCGUACAAUUUACGAUCUAAGACGGUGAUAGAGUCUAUCAAUAUAAAAGUAGAUGAAGCUUCUUCUGUAAGUUCUUCUGUGAAUGGUUCUUCUAAUUCUUUGAUGAAUGACGAUGAUAAUGAUUCUCCGUUUGUAAUGCCUGUGAAUGAUGAUGUUUCUAUACCUGAUAAUUCCAUUGCAUCUUCUGAUAACAUUGCAUCAAAUGAUUCAUCUGAGCCACAAAAUACCACGCCUGAAAUCCCUAGCGGAUCUCCUGAAACUAUUCCCCUGACUGAGUCAAGAGAUCAUCCUUUGUCAAAUGUGAUUGGGGACCCUAAUGUUGGUGUGCGAACAAGGAGUCAAUUACAAUGUGAAUUUGCAUGUUAUGUUUCUUUGAUUGAGCCAAAGAAUGUUGAUGAAGCUCUUGUUGAUGAAUAUUGGAUAAAUGCCAUGCAAGAAGAACUUGGUCAAUUUGUUCGCAAUGAUGUAUGGGAAUUGGUGCCUCGUCCUGAGCAACAACACAUUAUUGGUACCAAAUGGAUCUUUAAGAAUAAGAAAAAUGAGGAUGGUACUAUCGUGCGGAACAAAGCCAGACUUGUAGCUCAGGGGUACUCUCAAAUUGAGGGAAUAGACUUUGAAGAAACCUUUGCUCCGGUUGCCCGUCUUGAAUCUAUUCGUAUCUUGUUCGCGAUUGCUUGUCAUUUUAAAAUCACGCUCUUUCAAAUGGAUGUCAAAAGUGCGUUUUUAAAUGGAUUUUUAAAAGAGGAAGUUUAUGUUGAACAACCGAAAGGUUUUAUAGACUCAAAAUUUCCAAAUCAUGUUUUUCGACUGAAAAAGGCACUUUAUGGACUAAAACAAGCUCCGCGAGCGUGGUACGAACGUUUAACAAAAUAUCUUUUGGAAAAGGGCUAUAACCGAGGGGGAGCAGAUAGAACUCUUUUUGUGAAGCAUCUGAAGAAUAAUUUCAUUGUAGCACAAAUAUAUGUGGAUGACAUAGUUUUUGGGGCUACUAAAGAUAAGGAUGCCGCUGAUUUUGCAAAAUUAAUGACUAGUGAGUUUGAGAUGUCAAUGAUGGGAGAACUUAAUUAUUUCCUCGGGCUUCAAGUCAAACAAUCAAAAGAUGGAAUUCAUUUGUCACAGACAAAGUAUGCAAAGGAACUAGUUAAGAAAUUCGGAUUAGAAAGUGCAAAGGAUUUUGACACUCCGAUGGGUACAAGCAACAAAGGAUUAGGAAUGAACUCAGAAGGUCAGAGUGUGGAUGAGAAACAAUACAGAAGCAUGAUUGGUAGCCUCUUGUAUCUAACUGCGAGCAGACCUGAUAUUGCGUUUAGUGUUGGAAUAUGUGCUCGUUAUCAGGCUAAUCCUAAGGAAAUACACUUGAAAGCAGUUAAAAGGAUUAUUCGAUAUGUUAAAGGAACAACCGAGUAUGGACUAUGGUAUCCUAAGGGAACGUCGCUUGACCUAAUCGGCUACUCAGAUGCUGACUGGGCAGGCUCCGCAGAUGAUCGGAAAAGUACUAGUGGGGCUUGUUUUUACAUCGGACAUUGUUUGGUUGCUUGGCACAGUAAGAAGCAAAAUUGCAUUGCUCUUUCCACUGCAGAAGCUGAAUACAUUGCAGCUGGAAGUUGCUCUACUCAAUUAAUUUGGAUGAAAAGCUUACUAAGCGACUAUCGGAUUCCUUCUACCACUCUGACUAUUCUGUGUGACAACACGAGUGCAAUUAAUAUUUCUAAAAACCCUGUUUUACAUUCUCGAACAAAACAUAUUGAACUAAGAUAUCAUUUUUUAAGAGAACUGGUAGAAUCAAACGUUUUACAACUUGAAUACAUUUCAACUGAAAAUCAACUUGCAGAUAUUUUAACCAAACCUUUGGAUCAAAAACGUUUUCUGCAUUUAAGAAAGGCAAUUGGUAUGAACCCAUCAAUCUAGAUAUAUUCUAUUGAGCCACAGAUCAUGUGCAUGUUGCAUAUUUUGUUUCUUUUCUUGCAUGCUUUUCGGUGUUUAAGGGUUGAUUGAUUUUCUUGCUUGAUGUUGCCGUUUUGGGAAAUGAGUUGAUCUGUGAAUUUAAGUAUUUCAUAUUUAAGUUUUGAUUGAUCAAUGUCAGGGUUAUUCUCUAUUGACAUAUUUUUGAACGAUCAAAUCAUUGAAAUUCUAUUUAACAUAUUGAAUCAAAUUCAGCACCUCAUGCUUCGAACUUUGAAUAUUGCAAUUGUUUGUUUGAUUAUUAGUUUUGAGAUGAAUAAAUCUUUCUCUAUUUUUGAAAUUGCGAUAAUAUUUUUGACUUGAGGGUUGCACUAAUUUAGGGGGAGUCUUGCCGAUUUUAGCUAUGAAAAUUUAUGAAAUUCAAGAUGUGGAAAGAGUUACAUCCCCGCUGGGAGUGUGAAAACUACCACCACAUGGAGGAAAGAGCUACCACCCCGGUCGUCCGGUCAGUGUGUGCAGCUACCACAUGAUGAUGAAUAUAUCUCUAUGAGCUAAAAGCCAAUAAAGAAUGAAUCAAUAUGAGAUGUUGUGGAGAUGGUAACAUUCUAUGUUUAAUACAUCUCCUAGGCGAUAUAAGGUGGUUUGUUAAAAGAUGCUCAAAGAGCCACUCUUAUCUCGAAUUAUGUGCAUAACUCAAGUUGAGAAUAUUCUUUUAAUUUCAUGAUUAUGAGAUUUAUUUAUUCAAUUUCUUAACAAAUAUGAUGAUAAAAUGAUACAAUUUAUCCCUAGAUCUUGCAUGAUGUGUGGAAUUUUAUUUGAUACUUAUCAAGAAUUUUAUUUGAUUUUCGGAUCAACAAUAUUUGCCAAAUUGAAUAUCUUUGAGAUUGUUUUUCAAAAUUUAUUUAUGAAAUUUUAUUGAAGUCUUUGGGGAUGGAUAUUGUGUAUUUUUGAUGUUGGAUAUGUUGAGGAUAUUAUAUAAAUUUUCUGAAAAUUCUAGAUAAAAUUUUGUGUUUUAGGUUUUGGCUCUGGGACCGGUCCCAGACUUGGAGAGACCGGUCCCUCCGCCCGAACCGAUAUAAGGGUUUUGCGGUCUGUUUCUUUUUACUUUACCAAUUUCAUUCAAACUUCUCCCCAGAGCUUCUAAUAUCCACAGGGUGAUUUUGCUUCCAUUCUUCAUCAAUUUCUACUUAUUUUUGGUAUGAUACUCGGAUUUUGUUUCAUUAUUGUUUUAUAAUCCGAAUUUGUGCUUUAUUCUCAGUUUUUGAGGAUUUGAUCUCAUAAUGUUGUUCAAUCUCUUCAUUUUUGUCCUGAUCUUACUUCUAGACAUGUUGAUCAACUUUUUCAUGCAUUGUUACAUACUUUGAUUUAAUUGAUUGGUUGUUUUUGCCAUAUUUUCUUCAUCAAAACCUACUUUUUCUCAUUUUUGCAAACUGUGGUUUUAUUUGUUUUUGAUGCUUGAUCUGUCCAUGUUUUUUCUUAGUUAUGUGGCUCUAGGUUAUCUAGGAUACAACAUAUCAAUUUGCUAAAGUGUUUGGAAUCACAAAAAUUUAGUGUUCUUAUGUUCAAUAUGUAUAUAUCAUUAUGUUCAACAGGAAAUUUUCGAAAAUGUACUCGUGGAUUCUCGUUCUAGUGGUUCUUAUGGCUGGAGGUGGUCGCGGUAGCAAGCGACAGCGCGCCUCAGCUAAGAGGCCGGUUGAGCAACAACCGGAAGAUGAAGGGAGUGAGUAUGCCCCGGGUGAUGAAUCUGAGGAGGACGAGCAGGAUUGGGAGACCUUUGUGCCUGAAGUGUUGGCUAAGGAAAAGGACGCUGGGAAAGGUAAGGGAAAAGGGAAAGCUGUGGAUAAAGGCAAAGGAAAAGACACUGAACGUCCCAGUCGUCGUAAGUCCGGGGGUGUUGAAAUUCGCGAACCGGGCUCUGAGCCACCACGUCGCAGUUUACAGGAUGUUCCAUCUAACCGACGGUCAAUGUAUUCGUCGAAACACUGCAUUGGUGAGUGCGAUGUUGGGGUGGCCAGUAUUAUUAGUUGUGUGCCUGGUUUUCAGGAUCUGUUUGAACAGGGGAAUCUUCAUCAGAUUUGUGAUUUUCCGGAGCAAACUGGUUAUUGUUUGGAGCUGAUCAGGGAAUUUUACAUGAGAGCAGGUCACCUCAGUGAUUCCGACGGGGGUCCGUACGUGUUCAAGACCUCUGUCCGUGGUGUUGAGUUAUCAAUCACUCCUGCGACUAUAGCUUCGGUGCUUGAGAUGGAAGCUAAGACUGAUGGAGUGGAGUAUUUGCAGGCUGGGUUCGACUCACUUCGUGAUUGGAACCGUGUCGUGAACACUAUCUGCAUGCCGGGUACUGAAUCAAACGGAAUUAUGGUUAUGUCCAAGGAUUUUAAAAUAGAGUACAGAUUUCUGAACUUUGUGGUUUGCUACAAUAUCAUGCCUCUUGCGAACACGAAAAUCUUGCGAUGGGAUCGGAUUCUGUACAUGUAUCUCUUGGGUAGGCCAGAUAUUGUAAGUGCUAAAAACAUUAACAUGAAUAUUCCGUUUCUUAUUUGGCGGCGGAUGGCGAAAGAUAUCAAAACCUCUGGGCAAAAUGAGAGGUUACCGUUUCCUAUGAUAAUUAUGCGGAUUUUGCGACUUCGUGAGGUUGAUGUUAGGUGUACAUCGUACGAGCACAGUUUGGGUCGGAUUAAUGAAAGGACGUUUGUGAAGUCCUCGGUGCAGCUUCGUACGCCGUCACAACGUGCUUCUUCCCCUCCUGCAGCUCCACCUCCUGCUACUGCUACUUCUUCCCGUCCUUCUAUGGAUAUUUCUGAGGAAGAUAUUUCCGUUUCUUCGGUUUAUCGCGAGCAGCAACGUCUAUCUGAGGAGCUUCAGAAGUUGUCUUCAGAACAAGCUGCGAUUCGUAAGGAUGUGAGCAAGAUGAAGCGCUUGUUGAAUAUGAUUUUUGACAAAUUGGGCUGUUGUCGGGCCGAUUUACCUCCAGGAGAUGAUUCUGACUAGAAUUUUCUGAGCUUCUCCUUUUGUCGUUUUGGCGCUUUCUGACAAAAAGGGGGAGAUGAUGGAAUGGAUGGAUGGUCUCUUAAUGAUGAUGAUGAUGCAUUUAGCUUAGGGCUUGGCUUUGCUUUGGCUUUGCUUAGUUAAGAUGAUGACUUUGUUUUAGGUGUUUGGUGUUUUCGUUUAGCUAAGCUAUGAACUAUGGAGUGUGAACUUUAGUUGAGUGUUUGAUCUUCUUGAUACUUGAUACUUCUUGAUACUUGAAUCUUGAUUAUGCCUUGAGAAUGUUUUUGCAGGAAUAAUUCAAGACUUCAAGACUCCAUGUCUAAGUCAUAGAGUUUGUAUUAAGGUCGUAAAAGUGUAAAUUUUGUUUAUUGGAUUGAUCAUGCAGGAGAUUAUCGUUUGGUGAUUGCGAUGAUCUUCUUUUUAUGACUUAUUGGUUGUAUACGAGCUUUGUAGUGUAUUUUGUCACGAAAUCGCCAAAGGGGGAGAUUGUUAAGGAUUUUAUAGGUUGGCGAAUUUCGUGAAGUUGUUUGGAGUCUUGAAGAGUUGAUCGCAGAAGUUUUUGAGAAAAGAUUCAAAUUGGAGGAUGAAGGCACAUUCGGAAAGAUCAACACUUAAGGUAUGAAGAAAAGAUUAUUUGUGGUGAAGAUACACAAUUUGAAUAAGUUCAGAAGACUUAGAUUGCUUUAAAAAUAAAUUUCUUAACAUUCAUGUGUUCUGGGACCGGUCUCUGAGAUGGAGAGACCGGUUCCCCCAAGGUCCUCACUGCGUAGUAUGGUGAUAUCGGCCUACCACAGACACUUAGGCGGCACAAGCUGGACUACCCUUGAGAUUGGUCCUUAAUUGCGAAAUGAAAAUCGACACGGUGUUCAUUAUGAACAAUCCACUACUAGAUAGAAUUAGUAGUUUGGAUUACUUGGACACGCUAUUGAUAUAGCAUUGGUACAGUUUAGUAUACUUGCCAUUCAUCAUUGCAUCGUAGCAUACUCGUUUGUCGAUAAAGUUUCUCCUUAUGCAUUGACAUACGGUAUCGUGAGGCUUACUUGUCUUUUUAUGUUGAGACAUAUUAGUAUGCAUCGAAUUAUAUUAGCCUCCUUAUGACAGUGUAGAUAUACAUUACCAUGGCAUCCAUGCUUACUUGAGACAUAUGGAUUAGCACAUCUAUUACCGCUUUCUACAUUUGUUACUAUUAUUCUUAUUGUUGCUUAUUCUAUUACCCUUUUCUUUUGGCCUAGUGGUGCGAUGAGCUGAGGUCAGUAAUUGCCCACUGGGAACUAUAAAUUAUAGUUCUCUACCCCCAUCUUUUACUCGAUUGUUUUACAGAGCCUUCCCACUCAGGUGUGGCCAGGGAUCGCGGAAAGGGAGUUGCUUCGAGCUAGCUCCCUUCGAGGACGGUUGCUAGUGGUCUACCUCUCGAUUUUUGUUUCCUUUUGCGAGAGGUUGAGAGUUCUACCAGUGUAUUAGAGACCACCGUUUUUGUACUUUUGAGACAGAUAUUGUACUACUUAUGACUCCUUUUAUCGUCUAGCUUUACUUCUUUACCUUGUGUAGAUGUUAGAACAUUACUCGCUCUGAUAUCAAUUAGCUGUCAUAUUAUUUCACUUCUUCUAUUUGUUUUAUUACUUCUUUUACUUCCGCUUUUAUUGUAGACGGCCUUUAAUGUGUAGACAUAUGGCGGGUCUGGGCACGCUACGAGGAGGGCCUCCGCCGCCCGGGGCGUGACAGUCUACAGAUCAGAGUUUCUGCCAACCCAAGGCUCGGUUGUGUUUUCGUAGGAUUUGUAACCGGUACACUUUCCGCCGUGUUACCGGUAACAGUUGACAGAAUGCGAACUAUGGUUCUGACAGGGAUUUUUUUGCAUUGUGGUGCUUCUCUAUAUAGCACCUCAGCCCUAGGGCCUUCCCUGAGCCUGGCACAGAAAUAGGAAGAGGUAAGGGACCCUCCAGCACCUCCCUUUUUUAUUCUUUGAUUUUGCUUGGAUUUUGAGAGAUUAAACUCUUCUUUUCUGCUUCUUGGUGCCAACUUCCAAAUGGAAAGGAGCGUUGGAACUUGUGUGUUGGAGCUUGAUUGAAGGGAGAUCUUCAACCCUAAGUUUGCUUCGAGCCUUGAUGAAGCCUCUAAAGAGGCUUAGUACAAGGUUAUUUCAAUCUAGAUUUCUUGUUAAAUAAGUGUUUUUUGAAGAUAAACCCUAAGAUUGGAAACUAGGGUUGAAUUUUGGGCCCUUUUGAGCUUAGUUUCACUCGCCCCGGGGCCGAUUUUAAAAGCCUUUUCAAAAUACAAGUUCGGGAAAACUGCCAUUUUUUUUUUUCACCUGGCCCAAGACGCGCGAACAAAAAAAAAAAAAAAAAAAAAAAAAAAAAAAUCAUCAACCCAGCCACAAAAAUAACAAGUUCCUUCUGUCCACUCGGACAGAGUCCUCAUUUGUAUUUGCAUCGGCGUACCAGCUAUACAACAGAUGCUCACCACAACCUACAUUACCAUCAACAACGCCAAAGCAUGGAUAUGCAUUCGUACAGCUAACAAUCCUUAGAAGAUGCAAGCCUCUCGAAGCACUCCUCAGGGCGCUGAUGAUGCAAUGCAAAAUACAACAAACAUCCNNNNNNNNNNNNNNNNNNNNNNNNNGAGCAUUUACCCUAUGGCGGAGUUUGCUUAUACAACAGUUUAUCAAGCAAGCAUCAAUGAUGACGCCUUCGAAGUACUUAUGUGACGAAAGUAGUAGAUCGCCCUACUUCAUUGGGAUGCGGAAAGUGUGGCGAGAUGUUUGGCUUUAGCCCCGAUGUGCUAAACUCCAGGAAGCUGAGGACGAAGCGUGCGAAUUGCGGGGAGCGAUUUUGACGGGCGCCCAGAUAGACAAGAGGAGCCGACGGCGAUCGACGACGGCGCAGACUUGGGUUCCAAGUUGGGAGACCAUGGUUUCUUGAAAUGUCUCCGGCGACUAGGAGGAAUCAAAGAUAUUUGCGGAUUCGAGCGAAAGUUGGAGUCCCCGUGUUCAUGGACAGUAUGAGAUCUUGUGAGCGUGUAGGUCAGGGUAGCCGUAUCGCACUUUCGCUCUACUACCGAUACCUAUCCGGCGUGCACAACUGCUCAUGAUCGGUCCUUCGCGAAGUACAUCAGUGACGCAGCGCAUGUUUUGGAACUGCUACCAGUGAGCUGCCGUUAGGAUCUGGAGCUUCCCGAGUAAGCAACCGUGAAGAUUUUUGGUCUCGCCGACGCGUGAAAAGAAGUUGCGCGAAUCGGAUAUUCCGUAUGUAAGUUCUUUGGAGCAAACACGCGGAGCGCCGAGGCCCACGGUAGGAGCUUGAGAGUGCGCUGCCGUGAGCCGCUAUCGCCCAUCUUUUUCAGAUUGGUGAGCCUGGACUAUGCUUUGCUUCGAGUUUCGCGGCACGAAAACUCCUUUUUAGAGGGUGAACCUGUAGCACACUGGACCUUUGCAAAUUGCGGAGGUUCGACCGUAGGUAUUCGAUUUUGUAUUCCCGAACUUUUCCACACUGGUGGAGCGGCCGUCGAUGGGAGACCGGCCUAAAAGCUUUCGAUCUCGAACUUUUGGAGUCCUGAGAGUUUGCUUCUUACUCUCCGGGACCGGUCCGUGAUGGAAGACCGGCCCCAGUGAAACAGUGCCUGCGCAGCCGGCCGAGACAACGGUCCCUGGCAGGUCUCAGACCGCCCUGAGCGCGUCUGUGCGUUGGAGAGACCCGGUCCCGGCAAGGAGAAGACCGGUUCCCGAACGUUGGAUUUUCCGGGGGCAGGCUGAGAGACCCCGGAUAACCCGCGCUCCCUCCUGCGCCGAAAAUCUGCCCAGACCGGAGCCAGCUGAUGGAUUUUGAACCCCCAUGUUGAGAGCUUAUCAGGAUUUUGUUAUCUUCUCAAGAGCCUAUUAGAGAGGUCCUUCUUCUCUCUCUUUCCCUCAUUUUCCCUCUCACCCUUUGCAUAAAGUCUAGCAGAUGAGAGAAGAGAGGAGAGAAUGAAGAGGAAGAAGAAGAAGAGGAGAAGGAGCUUUCUCAGAGGCCUCUGGGACGCAUCAUCUUCUUCCAUUUCUCACUUUCGGUGGCACUUGGAACUUGUGGUGGCGAGCUGUGGGGAGAUCAAACUUCAACAACCCUACUUGGUGAGCUGGAUGGUCAGGCCUUUCUGAGGUUGGUAGGCUUGUAAUCCCCAUUUUAUACAUGUUUCCGUAGUUGACGUACACCGAAACCCAAUUUUGGGGAUGGAGGGGUUAGUUUGGGGUUUUGGUAGGGAGUGGAGAGCCAAUUUAAGGUUGAACCUUCUAUAUAGGUGAGAUGGGCAAGACCCCUACCUCCCAUUUGGAACUAGAGAGAGAAUUCUUCACGCUAGGUGAUUUUUUCUCCUCCUUAGCCUAUGUGCUUAUCACUUACGUUUGAUCACACUCCCUCAAGCGUUCGUUUUAACCCUUUUCCUACAUCUUUAGGGUGCUAGGAAGGUAGUGGGCAUCUUCGUCGACCUGCCGAAGGUUGCAAGAGAAAUAAUUUUGUGGAUUUGACUUCAUGGAAAAAUGGGUGGGCAAAUGCCCCUUUAUGCUCUUCUAAACUUUUGUGUAAAUUAAUUUUGAAUGCGAAUUCAGCUGCUAAACAUGGUUAUCAUGAAUUGUAGAAUGCUAAGAUAUGGUAUCCCAGGAUCUAAAAGUAAGUAAAUACCGAGAGGGGGGGUGAAUAGCGUGUUAAUCCGGCCAAACUCGAAAAAUCCGAUGCCAAACAAAACACAAUUCGCGGAGAAUUAAAAUGAGUCAACACGAGAAUUACGUUUGGGAAAACUCCAAUUGGAGUGAAGAAACUCCACGGACCAAUCACGCCAAGAGAAUAAUCCACUAAGCAAAAACUUGAAGUACAAUGAUUGUCGACCAAAAACACACGACUUCAAUGUUACCGAUUUCUCGUUGACGGAGAUCUUUCCCGGUCUCAUCGAUCGAUAGCAUAUUCCCACUAAUCGACCUUGCUGCCACUCCUCGCCCAGCGAUGCACCACGCCUCAACCCCUCGACAGCGUCCAUCCGAAUCCUGGCCUCACGCAGCAUCCACGCGCAAAGCUUAUAGAUUGAAGAUUUUGGUGAUUUAACUUGGAAAAAAAAACCAUCAAGCUCAUGAGGGUCAACCUUUAAUCAAUCAAUCUACUUGAUCUCGUAAGAAGUACUCGAGUAAAAAACGAAGAAAACAAAGCCGAUGUUGCACCCCUGACCUAAAAACUCAUCAAUGUAACAUCGAAGCAAAUUAAAACAAGACAAACACCGACUUCUAGGGUUGGAAUUGGCCUAAAAAUUCAACAGCCUUAACUUUUAGACGACAAAAAUCAGCUAUUUAUCUAUGUUUAGAAGACUUAGAAGUUAGGACUAGGAUUCCCAAAAAGUCGAGUUUCAAAAACGUUUGUCCGUCGCUUUCAGCUGAGACCGCGUCCCUGUCCGAGGACCGGCUGUGAGAGGACCGCAUCUCUCAGUGAGGAACCUCCGCCUCCCUCUCUGCGUAACCAAAAAAACCCCACGUUGGAACCGGUCUCUCAAACUGAGACCGGUCCCUCGCUGCGUGACAGAACCACCAAGUUGGAACCGGUCUCUCACCACAGGGACCUAGUUGCAUCAAGGAUUCCUACUCUUGGAAUGUGUCUGUCCCACUCGACCCCGUAGGCUUCUCAAUACCGCACGAGCGAACGUAGUCGCGUAGGCUAACUCCGGAGUGCCGGCUUGUAGGGAGCGACCCUCACAAGCAUGUGCGAAUGAGCACAAAUGGCAAGCAAGCGUAGUCCAAGUCUCAAAUAUCCAAUCCUCAUGUCUCUAACAUGGUAUCAUAACUAGCAUCCCGAAGAUCUAGUCUAAGUCACAAUGUGAAGUUUUAGCAUUUGCCACGCCUAGUGCCCCUUGAUGACACUUAGGCAAUUUGGUGUCCAACCUGUAACCCAAGUCCCUCGAUGGCCCUACUCACUAGGUUCACACAUGUCCCGAGCUCAAUGCCGCUUGAUGACAUUAGCUCUCUAGUUCACAUACAUUCUAGUUCAAUACCUCUAUAUGGCAAUUUUUGUCAUCUUUCAUGUCUCAAAUAAACUUAAGUUUAAAUGCAUGAUCCAAAGCUCAUUUACACUAUAGAAGCAUGAACUCACGUCUCAUAUAGAAUGCUAAAUGCAACUAUAGGCCUACCAAGCUACUCUCUACUACAUAGAAGUCCAAAAUUUCAACAUGCAUAACAUAGGCCUUUUAAGCAUUCUAAAAUUCAUAAUAAAUGUAUAUAAUAAGAAUAUGCAUGCUUUUUCAAUUUACGGAGCAUAAGUAACCAUAUAUGAGAAUUUCUCAUAUGUAGGCUAGGUCAAACCCACCGAACCGUCGCGUAGGGUCUCGAUCCGCCGAACAAAGUUGUCCCCGAGUCUCAAAUUAUCCUAAAAGUAAUGAGCGACAAGAUACACGGGCAUUACGAUCAUUUAUAAGAUCAAACUUUAACAAUUUUAGCAAAAGGGCCAAAACUCACCCCAAGAGUAAAAAUCCUCUCCUAAGCUCCAAAGGAGAGCUAGAAUCCUUCCAAUCCAAGCCCAAGGAAGGUUCUAGUCCAAACAAUCUAACUCCAAAAGCCCUAGAUGCAAAAUGCCCAAAUAAGCCCUAAAUUUCCAUUUCUAGGGUUUGAUCUUGAAUUCAUCAACAAAAUUCAUAUCUAGAGGGAGAGAGCAAGUAGAUUACCUCCUAGAAGCUUGAGUAUUCUAUAGUGUCACCUAAAUAGCUUGGCGUAAUCAUGGUCCCUCAACCUUGCUCCAAAACCAAGCCUCAAAGGGGGAAAAGCCUCAAAUCAAACAAAAGAGGCAAAAGAGGGGUUUAAUCUCUUAAAAAUCCAAACAAAAAUCAAAGAAAUGAAAGAGGUGAAGAGGUGGGCUCCCCUACCUUCUCUCCUGCUGCUCCAAGCUCAGGAGGAGCCCUAGGGGCGUGGAGGAUACAUAUAGAAGUCCACAAUUGCGAAAAACCCCCUGCAGUUCAAAGUGCUCAGAAUCUGCCAAAGUGUACCGGUACACGGAAAAGUGUACCGGUACACAUCCUACGAAAAUGCGAACCCGAGGCUCGGGUUCGAAAUUUUCCACAAGUGUACCGGUACAACCAUCAAGCGCGUACCGGUACAAAAUGUGUACCGGUACGACCAUCAAGAGUGUACCGGUACACCUUGUGCAGAAUACAAUCCGAGGGUAGGCUAAGUCCAACUUUAUGGUGACCUUAGCGCUACAUAAAAUACUACAAUUCUCGGAAUACGUGCCAUAGGUCGGAACACUGUCAACGACCCACCAGAAAGUCUGGAAAGACUCGGGACACUGUCCAAACACUCGAACCCCGCAAUUUGCAAAAGUCCGGUGCGUCACAGUAGCGGUACAACCAUCAAGGUGUAUCGGUACACUUUCUAUUCUGGUACAACCAUCAAGACUGUACCAGUACACAGUCCUGCUGAGGCAACCCAAGAGCAGACACCAAGAUCCAAUCUUUUAAAUUUUGGUGCUAAGUUUAAAACCUCAAUUCUCGGGAUGCGAGUCAUGGGUCGGAGCACUAUCUAAGACCCUCCUAAAACUGUGGAAAGGCUCAGCACACAGAUCAAACACUUGAACCUCGCAAUUUGCAAAGGUCCAGUAUGUUACAAAAUUCCUCUUAUGUCUGAAGUGUCAUUUUUGAGCAUAUGUGAAUGUCGGCUAUUUUGCAUAGUAGGGUACUUGUGAGUUGUAUUGGAAUGCUAUGAGUAUAAAUGCAUGAGUAAUCAUAGUAUAAGAGCAAGGAAUGGUUUAACCCUAUAUAUGCAUGUAUGAUGAUAAGAACCUAGCAAAGCUAAAGGACUUAGUGACAUAGAGAACAAAAGUGACAUGUUGACAUAUUUGUAGAUAGGGCUGGCAAAUGAGCGAGCCGGCUCGUUUUCGACUCACGUUCGGCUCGAUAUUCGGCUCGCUCGAGCUCGGCUCUAAUUAAUUUCAAGUCAAGAUUGAGCCAAAAUUUAGGCUCGAAAUUAAUUUCAAGCCAAGCUUGAGUAUUACCGGGCUCGCUCGAAUUAGGCUUGAAAAGCUCGAAAUAUAUAUAUAUAUAUAGAAAAAGUCUACUAUAUUAUUAAUAGUACCGACCACUUGCUAUUAGGUCUUUGGCUCUUGGAUGAAGGGAUGUGCGGUUAGGAUGAUAGUGAUUCCCUAGAGUUAAGUAGGUGGUUAAUUGAAUAGUACGAUCUAUUGAGUGAAACUGGUCAAACAGAUAGAUCUAACGGCACAAAAUUCGACAGCACUAAGUAUUUGGUAUUAUCAAUAAUAUAGUGUUAGAACUAAAACCGAGAAGAUCUAGUUCGUCGGAUGCGAAAAUACCAAAAGAGAUUCGAGAAAGAGAGAAGAAAAAUAAAGAGUACAAUAUUUACGUGGUUCGGCCAACGGCCUACGUCCACGGGCGAAGACGGAGCGGAGAUCUUCAUUAUAAUCAAAGUGGUGUACAAAAUAUGCCUCUCUCACAAAACCCUAAUCCCAAAAAAUACACCCAUAUCCCCUCUCUCAUCUUCCGCACUAAAUCAAUAGCAGAAAGGGUAUAUUUAUAAUAGUGGCUAAAUCUUAAUACGAUUAGGAAUACAAAUCCACUAAGAUUAGAAAUAUCUCGAUAAAUUAGGCAUAAUCUAAAUUUAACAUAAUGGGAUAAUUAAAACAGAAUAGGGUUAGAAGACCUUGCAGUACUAGAAUUCGAGACAUAUUUAACAAUCUCCACCUUGGCUUGAAUUUUAUGUCUUCUGCACCAAAAUUUCAAGAGCUCCUGAAGUGCUACUGCAUAUGCGAACAAGUUUACGGAAUACUUGACCUUGAUCGCCUAAAAACUUAAUGAGCAAAUCCGCGGGAUUCUCUGAAGUGCCAAUCUUCUCAUCUCCAACUACGCCUUUUGCAACCUCUGUUGCAUCAGAAUGACAACUUGUCGUAGAGCGAAACUGCUGGAGCGAUCAAACUUCUCGAUCUCAAAUUCGUCGACGCCUUAAACACCCAAACGAACAUUCCGUCUCUGAUACCAGUUUGUUAGAACUAAAACCGAGAAGAUCUAGUUCGUCGGAUGCGAAAAUACCAAAAGAGAUCCGAGAAAGAGAGAAGAAAAAUAAAGAGCACAAUAUUUACGUGGUUCGGCCAACGGCCUACGUCCACGGGCGAAGACGGAGCGGAGAUCUUCAUUAUAAUCAAAGUGGUGUACAAAAUAUGCCUCUCUCACAAAACCCUAAUCCCAAAAAAUACACCCAUAUUCCCACUCUCAUCUUCCGCACUAAAUCAAUAGCAGAAAGGGUAUAUUUAUAAUAGUGGCUAAAUCCUAAUACAAUUAGGAAUACAAACCCACUAAGAUUAGGAAUAUCUCGAUAAAUUAGGCAUAAUCUAAAUUUAACUUAAUGGGAUAAUUAAAACAGAAUAGGGUUAGAAGACCUUGCAGUACUAGAAUUCGAGACAUAUUUAACAUAUAGUAGCCGGACUCUCUCUCUAUAUAUAUAGUCCGACUAUUAUACUAUCUAUAGUACCAAUUGUUUUGUGCUAUCGAGUUUUCGGCCGUUAGAUCUACCUAUAAAUAUAGAGUCCGGCUACAAUACUAUCGAUAAUACCAAGCAUUUGGUGCUAUAGAGUUUUCUGCCGUUAGAUCUACCCCUUUAACCAUUUUCAUCCGUUAGAUCAUACAAUUCAAUUAUCCAUCUCCUCAACUCUAGAGGGCAACUAUCAUCCUGACCACACAUCCCUUCAUCUAAGAGUCGUCGAAAACCUAAUAGCAAGUAAUUGAUAUUAUUAAUAAUAUUGUAACCUAAUUAUAUAUAUAUAUAUAUAUAUAUAUAUAGGCUAGGGGAGUAGAGCUAGAAUACUUGUAAAAGUAUCACCCAAGUGAUACUUGUGUGUUUUUAGCCCUUGGAUGGAGAGAUGUGAGGUUGAGAUGAUGGUGGUAGGUGGUGGUAGGUGGUGGUAGGUGGAAUAGUGUUUGAUCCAAGGAUUAUUAGUGUCACGCCCCGGGACCGGCAGGGGCCUUCCCGGUAGCGUGCCCAGACCCGCCGCCGUAUGCCAACACAUAUAAGGCGUCUAUAGAAAAAGCGGAAGUAAAAGCAAGAAGUAAUACAAAUAGAAUAGUAACAACUAGUGAUAUCAGAGUGAAUAAAAUUCUAUCAUCUACACCAAAGUGAAGAAACAAAGCUAGACAAUAAAAGAAAUCAUAAGUCGUACAAUAACCGUCUCUAGUACAAAAAGGGUGGUCUCUAUACAUGUACGGGCACAACUCUCAACCUCUCACAAAAAGAAACACGAGAGGUAGACCACCUAUCGAACGAUCCCUCAGUAAGCACGCUAGCGCGAGGCGAUACCCUUUCCGCGAUCCCUGGCCUCUCCCUGCGUGGAAGGCUCUGAAAAAUAUCGAGAAAAAGAGGGCGUGAGAACUAUAAUUUAUAGUUCCCAGUGGGCAAUUACUGACCUCAGCUCUAUGCACCACUAGGCCCCAAAAGANGAUACUUAACUAUUCUAUUACAUCCAUUCAACUUAAUACAUUUAAUUACAACUCUUUUGUUCUUUUCCCAAAAUAUGAUCAUAUACAAGUACAAUCCUCUCAAAACCUCACCCUAUACAACAUCUACUCUCAAUAUAAGUAUAGGGUAGCUAAUGCAAAAGGAAGUAAAGCUAGCUAUGUGCUAAUACCAUUAGGGCGCUACGCCCUUGCCGCGAUCCUCACCGGGGCUACUCGUACUCGGACCUGCAACAAAGUGGGAUGAGAACUACGAAUAGUUCCCAGUGGGUUCGGCCGCCGACUCCGCCGAUCUCCCCACUAGGUCUAAGCAGGCACAGAUAGAUAUGCAGAUAGAUAGGUAUUUGCUGAAUUGAAAACAUCUAUAAUAAACCUCGGGUAUAUAAAAUGAACAUCUAACUAUGCCUCGAUCUGAAAUGGUGCAUGCAUGUAUCAUAAGGUAAGGCUAAGUAACCAACUAAUAUGCACAACAAUAAUGUGUCUCGUCUGGUUACCCAAUCUCUCAACGAACUCAAGGCUCACUCACAGUCUCACGUGUGUAAGUCUCAUAGGGGAGGAGGCUAGCUAUUCAACUACCCCGAGACCGCCUGCGGACAGCUACAAUGGUCCAAGGGCAACUAAACUGUCACGCCCCGGAUUACACGUUCCCCGGGCACGCCGACAAAUCCGCUGUAUACAAAGAAAUUUUCCCUGUAUACGAAGCGAUAGCUGUACCUGUAAAUCAAACACUACUACGAAAAGUAGUAGAGAGCUGCUAGAGAAAACAGAAGCUAAAUAAAACAGAGUUUCAUAUACAUAGUUCAGAUCCAAAAUACAGAGCUACUCGCACUGGCGAGUUAAGUCAACUAUGUACAUAAACUCGAAACAAAACAUCUACCUGCAGUAGGGCACCUCUAGCUCAGUGCGUCGGGUAGGGCUCUAACUCGCGAUGCCCUUGCCUCGAUCCUGGUCCGCAGACGGUGCAGCAGCCGGCACCUGUGGCUCUGCAAAAACAUAGGUAACAACUGGGCGUGAGAACUACUGUAAAAACAAGUAGUCCUCAGUGGGUACCGCCCAAAACAACAUCGGUCACCCACUAAGUCUACAGAAGGGAGCUAAGAUAGAAGGAAAGCAGGAAUCAUACUCUACCGCUAUCAUCCACUACACUAUCAUGCUCUACACUAACCAACUGUAGAAAAUGUCAAAUCUGACCCAAUCCAAUCGGGACUGUAAGCAUACCCGUCCCCGGGACUGUGAAUACACCCGUCCCUGCCCCGUUGCGACUAUCAAGCUCUAUCCACACUAACCGGUCCGUGGAGAGCAAGUCCAACUGGCAUGAGCGACACCAACGCAAAAACACAAGCCUGACUCCGGAGUGGCACUCGUGGGCGCUACCCAACCGAGUAUGCAGCGUAUCUCUGUCGAGCUCAAUCAGGCUCCAACUAGCCAAAGUCAAGUAAUCGACUCGAAAUGGUCUAACAACCAACAGGUAACGUGCCCUCGGCACAAUCUGACGCCAAAAAGGCGAUACGGGUCCACCGUCAACUCUGACAGCACCCAACAGUCCGAAACGACCUGAACGAACCUGUAAAAAUUCACUCGGCGAACCAGCACGAGUGUAAAUACAUUCUAAACUACCUGGAGUACUUGUCUCGAAGAAACUGCGACAGUACAAUUUUCUGACGGCUCCUAGAGCUAAAUUUGGUAGUUAAAACUGGUGACAGGUCCAAAUCGCAGGUUUUCUCCUAAUUCAAUUUCCAAGUCCAACAUGUAUAAUUUAAAUAAUUAUAAAGCAUGCUCAAAAUUCAGUUCUCACAUUCAAGCACUUAACCCAUGAAUUUGAGCUAAACUAGAUUACCAAAAUUCAGAUCUAUACAUGUCGACGAUUAUGAACUUAGGAGUCGAAACCGAUGUAACCCACCUCGCUCGCUAAUCCCUGGCAGCACGGAACACCCUCGGCUGCAACACCACCUGCUGGAUUGACCAAAAAUGCCCGAGUCUCGAAAUCGAGCGAACUCCAAACUAAAAACGUACAUACAUACAUACAUACAUACAUACAUAUAGCCGAUAGCACGAACAUUUUCGUGGUUCAUAAACCACCAACAUUAAAAAAGUGGCAAUCUAAAUAGGAAAACUAGUAAAAGUGGGAAAUCAAAUAUGAUAAGUUGAUUGGCGGGUGAGUUAAGAUCCCAUGGCGAUAGUACACUCUGGCGUCUAUCAGGAGAUAUAUUCUAGAUUAUCCCGAUGUUGAGAACUGCGCCGUAAAUCGUAAAACCCACCAAAGAUCUGCAUAUCUCCAAGUCUCUAAGAUGCGCACAAUCCUGCCCUCAACAGGAUACUAAACACUGACAGACCUCAUCAACCCCAAAAAAUAAAAAACUAGGAACACUCUAGGGACCACAAACUGACACCUCUGAACAGCUGUCGAGACCUCUCACAGCCCUGUUCAGGCUCAGCGCAACCGCAGUUUACCUGCGUUUUGCCCGAGGCACGCUGCGCUCCCGUUGAAAGUCGCUUCUUUUAGACGUUUGACGUCAAAAAGACGAACGACAUGGCCAUGUCGGUAGUUCCACAUGGCCAUGUGACGUGACCCGGCGCGCACCCAACGAGAGCCCAACCGAGGACAUGGCCAUGCGCUAGGGCACAUGGCCAUGUGGUCUCAUCCACUCCCCGAAAAACCAUAAAAAUGUAACGGAGCAAACAUAGAGGGGAGUGAGGGGAGAUAUAUCAAAGCACAUCCCUCUCUCUCUCUCUGAAAAACGACGGUAAGAGGUAGAGAGAGAGUGAGAAGGUAGGCCAACUUCCGUUCCACCUUGGGCCCACCUCAAAACAGCGGCUGCAGCGCGGCGCUUCGGCGAUCUCGAACACAACUGCGGCCCCGAAACGCUCCUCCGGCCCGCUCGCCUCCAAAAGCGGCAGGAACGACAGUGUGUCCAUGAACCACAACAGCUCCACUCAUAAGUCGUAAAGAAACCUAAAAACCCGUUUAAGAAUGCUGAAGUUGAGCUCCUCUACAACAAACGACUUAAAGUGGCAGCUGACAAACAUAAAACCGAGCAAGAGCUGCAUCCUCGUAGCCUAACGCUGCUCUGAACCAAGCAACCUAAGCCCUGACGCUCUCCUUAGGUGCUUCGGGAAUGAACGCUUAAAACCACUUCCAAUCGAGCCAGCUUAGGGCAAAGAUGAGUCGACGACACCUAAAACCUGACUUAACUCCUUAAAACCNCUGAACACCAGGGAUCUCACAUCCUCUCCCUCUAGAAAAAAUUUCGUCCGCGAAACUGAACGUACCUGACUCAGGCGUCAAACAAGUAGGGAUAGGCUUCCCUCAUCACCGUCUCAGGCUCCCAAGUCGCCUCCCGCUCCUCGUGAUCACUCCACUGCACCUUUACAAAGGGUAUGACCCGGUUGCGCAAUUCCCUCGUCUCACGAGCCAGAAUCCGCACCGGUCGCUCCUCGUAGCUCAGGUCCUCGCCAAUCACAAGCGGAGUGAAGUCGAUCACGUGGGAGGGGUCGAAUACAUAUUUCCUCAAAGCCGAGACGUGGAACACAUUAUGAAUGCCGGCUAGCCGUGGUGGUAGAGCAAUCCUGUAAGCAACUGGCCCGACUCGCUCCAAUACCUCGAAAGGGCCUACAAAACAUGGACUGAGCUUUCCACGUACACCAAAUCGGCGAAUCCCUCUGGACGGCGAGACUUUAAGAAAAACAUGAUCUCCAACCUGAAACUCCAAGUCUCGUCUCCUGGUAUCGGCGUAGCUCCUCUGUCGGCUCUGCGCUGUCAAAAGGUGUCGUCGAACGACUCUCACCUUUUCCUCUGCCUCAAGUAGAAUAUCAGGCCCAAGCGUCUUCCUCUCACCCACAUCACUCCAAAACAAAGGGGAUCGACAUCUUCGUCCAUACAACGCCUCAAACGGAGCCAUCCGGAUGCUCGCUUGAUAGCUGUUGUUGUAUGCAAACUCAACCAGUCUCAAAUGCCGAUACCACCCUCCUCCAAAGUCCAAGACACAUGCCCUCAGCAUGUCCUCUAGAGUCUGAAUGGUCCGCUCUGACUGACCAUUUGUCUGUGGGUGAAACGCCGUGCUGAAAUGCAACUGUGUACCCAAGGCUGUCUGCAAACUCCUCCAGAAGUGCGAUACGAACCUCGGGUCCCGGUCGGAUACUAUCGAAGUGGGCACGCCAUGCAACCUCACUAUCUCAUCCAAGUACAACUGAGCGAGUCUCUCUCUGGACCAAGUGGUCUGCACCGGUAAGAAGUGAGCAGACUUGGUCAGUCUGUCCACUAUCACCCAAAUCGCAUCAAAACCACCCUGUGCUCUCGGCAAUACGACGACAAAGUCCAUCGUGAUCUGCUCCCAUUUCCACUCGGGCACUGGUAGACUCUGAAGCUUGCCAGCAGGUACCUGAUGCUCGGCCUUUACCUGUUGACAAGUAAGACACUGAGCCACAAAUCUACCAAUGUCCCUCUUAAUUCCAUUCCACCAAAACUGAGCCUUUAAAUCCUUAUACAUUUUGGUUCCACCGGGGUGAACCGUAUAAGGUGAACAGUGAGCCUCUCUCAAGAUGUCCUCUCGGAUCUCUGAAUCCAUAGGUACACACAGUCGGUCCCUGUACCUAAGUACUCCCGCACUGUCCAAAGCAAAUCCCUCAGCCUGCCCCCUGUCUAGCUGCUCUCUAAUCCUCAACAAAUGCGGAUCUCCACUCUGUUUCUCGCGGAUCCUAUCCAACAGAGUAGGCUGCAACACAAGAGAUGUCAGCCUCGCUGUAGACCCAGGGGGUACUAUCUCGAGUCCCAGCCGCUGUAGCUCCUCGAGUAGGGGUCUCUGCUCCGUGAUCCUCAAACUCAGGCUCUGCACUGACUUCCUACUCAACGCAUCUGCCACCACAUUCGCCUUGCCGGGAUGAUACUGGAUACUAAUGUCAUAAUUCUUCAGCAACUCCAACCACCGGCGCUGUCUCAAAUUCAACUCCUUUUGGGUGAACAGAUACUUGAGACUUUUAUGAUCAGUAAAAAUCUCGCAGUGCUCGCCGUACAAGUAAUGCCGCCAGAGCUUCAAAGCAAAAACCACCGCGGCAAGCUCCAAGUCAUGCGUAGGGUAAUUCUUCUCAUAAUCCUUUAACUGCCGUGAAGCAUAAGCAAUCACCCUACCAUGCUGCAUCAGUACGCAACCAAGUCCACUGUGCGAUGCAUCACUGUAAAUCACAAAUCCUUCGCCCAUAACAGGAAGGGCAAGGAUAGGAGCCGACAUUAACCUCAANCCGGCGACCGCACCUCGGGAGGAGAUGGCUACAGCAUUACCUGUUCAGAGACCAGCGACGGGGGCGGCAUUUCCCGUGAUGGCCGAGGGAGCCGAGCGGGAUCGGCUCAUGGAUCGCCUCAGUGAGUUCAGGAGGUGCAGCCCGAGGAUCUUCGAUGGCGAGAACGUCGACCAUUGGAUUGUUGAGAAGUGGUUGAUGCAUAUGGAGAACCUUUUUCGAGAUACCUUUGUUGAGGAGAGGGACAGGGUUUGGCUCGCCACUCACUUUCUGGACGGCGAGGCCUAUCGUUGGUGGUUGGAUAUCCAGGACAACCCCAGCACCGACUUGACAGCGAUUACUUGGACGAGGUUCAAGGUGCUCCUUCUAGCGCACUACUUCCCGACCAGCGCCAAGAGGAAGAUGGAGCAGGAUUUGCGUAGCUUGUGCCAGGACGAGCAAUCAGUGGCCGAGUACGAGAGAGAGUUUUUUCGGCUACUCCACUGUGUACCUUUUGUGGUCCGGGAUGAUCAGGACAAGGCCCGCAUCUUUGAGCGUGGAUUGCGGCCUUCGAUCUUUCGGUUGGUGCAGUCCUCCAACCUCCAAACCUACCGGGAGGUUGUGGACCGUGCACUCAUAGUGGAGGCAGGAGCAGCGGAUUUGCAGGAGCAUCGUGAGAGCUUGGAGAAAGGGAAGGGCCAGAGGCCCGCGGCUAAGGGUGCGAGUCAGACGCACUCACGGAGGCCGCCGAGGCACCCCAGGAGCCGGAGCCAGUCGCGAGGACGUGGCCAGUCUACUCAACGAGGAGGACCCGAUCGUCGUCAGGCUCCCCACUGCGUGAUCUGUGGCGGUCCUCAUUAUCCGCGGCAAUGUUCACGCAGUUGGGGCAGGUGCUUCUUGUGUGGCCAGGAGGGCCACUUCCAGUCGGAUUGCCCGAGGAGUCCUUUGCCAGCGCCAUCUUCGGCAUCUGCACCUGCAUCGCCAGGUCCCAGCCAGGGGACAUCUUCUGCGCACCACCAGGCCGGUCGGCCACCUGUCCAGCGGUCGACGGAGGGGUCACGACAGGCCCCGAGCGGGUGCAUGUAUGCAGCCCAGACUGAGGAGGCAGCGGCAGCCGAGAAUGUGGUCGCAGGUAUCAUUUUACUUUAUGGUAUUCGAGUUAGGGCUUUAUUUGAUACCGUUGCAUCGCAUUCAUUCAUAGACCGGCUGUUUGCCGAGUUGCAUGGCAUCCCACUUGUAUCCUUGUUGCAUCCGGGACGAGUCAUUGUACCCGAUCAUUCUUUGGACAUUCGGGAGUUUUGCCCCAGUUGCCGUGUUCGGGUUGGAGAUUGGAUCAUGCCCGUGGACUUGCUAGCUUUGCAUAAACUCGGGGAGUUUGAUGUUGUUUUGGGCAUGGAUUGGUUGACUAAGUACUACGCCACUAUCGAUUGCAAGAAUCGAACGGUGACUUUUAGAGAGCCAAGGCAGGCGGAGGUUGUGUACCGAGGAUGCCAGAGUUCGCUGUUUGCGAUGACGAUUAGCUCCUCGCGAGCUAGGCAGUUGAUUAGUAGAGGCUCCGUAGCCUAUUUGGCUACUGUGUUGUUGAAGGGUGAUGACGACGCCCCUAGGAUUGCGGAUAUCCCCGUAGUACGGGAAUUUGGAGAUGUGUUCCCAGCGGAGCUACCAGGUAUGCCACCUGAUAGAGAGAUUGAGUUUGUGGUAGAUCUCGUUCCCGGGACUACUCCAAUCUCAAAGGCGCCUUAUAGGAUGGCGCCGGCGGAAUUGAAGGAGCUGAAGGUCUUCUGGACAAGGAUUUUGUGCGACCGAGUGUGUCACCUUGGGGAGCACCAGUCCUAUUUGUCAAGAAGAAGAAUGGAUCACUUCGCUUGUGCGUGAACUAUCGUGAACUUAAUAAAGUCAUGAUCAAGAACAAGUAUCCAUUGCCAAGGAUCGACGAUCUAUUUGAUCAGCUUCAGGGAUCUUGUGUGUAUUCCAAGAUCGACUUGCAGUCAGGAUAUCACCAGUUGAAGAUCAGACCUGAGGAUGUGUCGAAGACGGCUUUUAGAACACGGUAUGGACAUUAUGAGUUUACUGUCAUGUCGUUUGGGCUUACUAAUGCCCCGGCAGCUUUUAUGGAUUUAAUGAACCGUGUUUUUAAGCCUUACCUAGACAAGUUCGUUGUGGUAUUCAUCGACGACAUUUUGGUCUAUUCCCGAAGUGAUGCAGAUCAUGAGGAACACUUGAGACUUGUACUUCAAGUGUUUCGGGAAAAGAAGCUCUAUGCCAAAUUGAAGAAGUGUGAAUUUUGGCUUAGAGAGGUGGCGUUUUUGGGCCAUGUGAUUUCAGGAUCAGGCAUAGCCGUGGACCCGAGAAAAAUUGAAGCUAUCAAGGAUUGGCCGAGGCCGACGAGUGUCACAGAGAUACGGAGCUUCAUUGGUUUGGCCGGCUAUUACCGACGGUUCGUCGAGGGAUUUGCAAAGUUGUCUACUCCCCUCACGAGACUCACGCAUAGAGGCACCAAGUUUAUUUGGAAUGAUGCUUGUGAAAGGAGCUUCCAAAAGCUGAAGCGGCGAUUGACGACUGCCCCGAUCCUAACCUUGCCGACUGCUGGAGCAGAGUAUGUGAUUUAUAGUGAUGCUUCCUUUAAUGGAUUGGGCUGUGUCUUGAUGCAGGACGGGAAAGUGAUCCCGUAUGCAUCUCGCCAGUUGAAGGAAUAUGAAAGAAACUACCCUACUCACGACUUGGAGUUGGCGGCCGUAGUCUUUGCAUUGAAGCUAUGGCGCCACUACUUAUACAGCGAGCGAUGCGAAGUAUAUACGGAUCACAAAAGCUUAAAGUACCUAUUCACGCAGAAGGAGUUGAACUUGAGGCAGCGCAGAUGGUUGGAGCUACUCAAGGAUUAUGAUUUGACGAUACUUUACCACCCGGGCAAGGCUAACGUGGUAGCGGAUGCACUAAGUAGGAAAUCGACGGAAAACUUAACGAUGUUUGUGGUUACUCAACCGCCGUUGAUCAAGCAGAUGAAGCGGUUGGAGUUGGAGGUGGUGGCUCCUGAUACACCUUUGAGACUGAUGACUUUGGUGGUGCAACCUACACUUUUGGAAAGGAUUAAGGAAAAGCAAGCUUCCGACUCGGAGUUGCAAAAGAUUCGAGCUAAGAUGGUUGAUGGUUGCACCGGUGACUUCACUUCAGACGGUGAUGGACUGAUGCGUUUC